GGUGGUGGAGACUUAUACUUGUAAACCGGAGGUGGUGGGGGUGGAGACUUGUACUUGUAAGGGUGCUUGGGUGGGGAUAGAGGUGGUGGUGGGGGAGACUUGUACUUGUAGGGAUGCUUGGGUGGUGAUGGUGGUGGUGGUGGUGGAGACUUGUACUUGUAAGGAUGCUUUGGAGGUGAUGGUGGUGGUGGUGGAGACUUGUACUUAUAAGGAUGCUUUGGGGGUGAUGGUGGUGGAGGUGGGGACUUGUACUUGUAAGGGUGCUUGGGUGGUGAUGGUGGUGGAGGUGGUGGGGACUUGUACUUGUAAGGGUGCUUGGGUGGUGAUGGCGGUGGAGGUGGUGGAGACUUAUACUUGUAAACUGGAGAUGGUGGGGGUGGAGACUUGUACUUGUAAGGGUGCUUGGGUGGUGAUGGUGGGGGUGGGGGUGGGGGUGGGGACUUGUACUUGUAGGGGUGUUUGGGUGGUGAUGGUGGUGGUGGUGGUGGGGACUUGUACUUGUAAGGAUGCUUGGGUGGUGAUGGUGUUGGAGGUGGAGGAGACUUGUACUUGUAAGGAUGCUUGGGUGGUGAUGGAGGAGGUGGUGGGGACUUAUACUUGUAAACAGGAGUUGGUGGGGGAGGAGAUUUGUACUUGUAAGGCUUCUUGUGUGGUGGUGGUGGUGGUGGAGAGUAGACCGGAGGAGGCGGUGGUGGAGACUUGUAAUGGUAAGGUGGUGGUGGGUACUUCUUAGGAGGUGGUGGAGGAGAAGAAUAAGUGUAAUCUGCUGAGGUUUCAAAAGGCAAAUUGAGAGACACUGCUAAAACUAAAAGAGUGAGAAAGAGAGAGGUCAUUGAUGACCCCAUUUUCCCCAUACUUCUAAAAAUGGGUUUAAUUUGGUUAUGCUCUUAGCAACCCUCUUCACUCCCUUUAUAUAGACUUUUUUUUUAACCUUAUAAUCAUGAUAAAAGUUUGAAGAUGGACCGAACCUUCAGCAGCAUGUAAAAAAGACAUUACGUUUAGGUUAUUAGCAUGGUAUGAUAUAAUAAUUCUCUAUUCUCUUCCUUGUCGUUUCCCAUAAAUUCAAUUUUCUCUAUUAAAUAUUUAUCAAAUUCAUUUCUCACUCCCUAUUAAUUCUUUAAUAAGUUUAUAGAAUAUGAAUAAUUAAUCAUUAAACUCGAUUUAAUAAAUACUUUAAACAAUUAAUAAUUUAUCUUAUUUUAUGCUUUAAUUAAGGCAUCAAAUCAUAAUCCUAUUUUAUAUUUUGAAAAUUUAUCAUUUUUUAAAGAACUUAAUUGAUUAAAAUGUGAUUCUAAUAUUUGGCAGGAAAAAUUAGUUUACUUUCCUUAGAAUGUAAUAUUCUUUUGAGAGUUAUUUUCUUACUAAUAAUAGAAAGUGAUAAUUCGUGAGAAAAUUACUUUCACAUGUAAAUAAAAAUUAUUAGAACAAAAAAUUAACUUUCUUUUAUUUAUGUUUAGGUACUAAUUAACUUAUUGAGAUAAAGAUAGUUGUAGCUUGCUUUUUCAUGUCAUUUUCUUAUCUUUACAACUUCAAACCAUUAUUCUAGAGUAAGUUUUUUUUUUUUUUUCUAAAUAGUAGAUAAAUAUCUAUAUUUUAUUUUGCUAUAAGAAAAUUAUAUUUUUUAGCAUACAAAACUUAAAGACAACUUGUAGAAUCAAGUAAUUCUAUGAAAAGCAAGCCUAUUCACAUAUAAUACCUAUUACUCUAGCAAUAAUAAUAUUGACAUUGUCUAAAUUUUCUAAUAAAAAAAUUAUAUAAUUUGUAUGUGUUAAAAAUGAAAAAUAUGGCGGUUAUUAAAAAAGAUUUCAUACAUCUAAAUGAAACUACUAAUUUAAAAAUUAGUAUUGAGAUAAUUUCAAGUUAAUAUUGAAUAUACUUGAAUUUGUACAUACAAAGUAAUGAGGGUAAAAAUUUUGUAAAUUGUACAUCUUCACAAUCUUGAGUUAAUAUACAAUUUUUUAAUGUAUUAAUAUAAUGUUUUAGAUCAAGAUGUGAAAAAACAUAACUCAAAUAUUUGUUAAUAAUAAAAAAUUAUUAAUAAAUAUUUAAUUCAAAAUUUAUUAAUAAUAAAAAUUAUUGAAAAAUAUUAAAUACGUUAAUAUUAUUUUUAUAUAAUAAUGAUAAUUUUGUACAGUAAUCUUAUAUUCUCAAUAAGUGUUAAAUGUCUCAAGAUUUUAAUUAAUACUUUUCAGUGGUUACCAAACAUUGUGAAAUAACUUCUUGAACAAUGAUAUUCUUAUCAAUCACAUUCCAUUAGAAAUUUAACAUAGGAAAGCACCAAAACAACCGCUUAAAAAUGAAUGUGCAUGAUUAAAAUCGCGAUAAGUCUUGUUUAUCUAAAAUUUAAAUAUUCAUUUUAUUAUUUAAAAUAUAUUAAUUUUCCAAAAACAAUCAUUAAUAUUUAUAUUUCUAAUUUUAAACAUUCUUUUGUUAAUUAAAUGAUAGUGUAAACGGUUAAACUCAAAUCGAAAGCAUUUUAUCUUAUAGUAGAUUAUAUGACUCAUAUUAUGGUUGAAAGUAAAAUGUAUAAAAUCAAUACAAACAUCAAAUAUUAAACUUGCACUCAAUAGAUUUUAAAAUUUCUAAUUUUACCACUAAUCUAUUUUAAGAUUUUUAAAAAAUCGUACUUUAGAUUAUCUAAUUUAAAUUUUAAAAUUAUUAAAAAUAAAAAAAUUCUUAAUAAAAAAAUUUGUUUCAAAUUUUUAACCUUUUAAUAUAAUUGUUUUAACUGGUUAUCUAAACUAAAUAAAAACUUAUUUAGUAUAAAAAAAAGUGGUAAAUGUGAAAGGAGCACAAAUCACAACUACAAUAUGCUACAUUAGUUUUAUAAUUGGAUUAAUUUAAUCACCGGCAGAGGAAAUGUGUUAGUUCUAGCUACCACCAAUUUAUUUUAAUUCCUUUAAAAAUAUUAGAAAAAAUCAAUUUGAUUUUUAAUAAUAGAUCUAAUUACUUAAAGGAACAUCGGUGAUGUCCACAUGGCAUACAAGGUUAAGCAUAUAAAAAAAGAACAAAAAGAUUAAGUAUCUUUGCAAGAUAGCUUUCUGAAAUAAAUAAAACUUAAAUAAAAACAAUUUUAUUAUCAAAAUAAAAAGAAAAAAGAAAAGAAAUACUAGUGUUUUUAAUUAAAAUAGAGUGAUCUGGGUAGAAUCUUUUACUUAAAUACUGACAUUGACUUUAUAAGCUAUUUUUUAUCAAAAGAAGAAAGAGAAAAGCAUCCGAUUGAAGAUGUGAAUUAUUAAAUUAAAAUUAAUCAUACAUGUAAAAUUUUAUUGUGCUUUUUUCUAGCCCUCCGAAUGACAUUAUGCUUUGAUUACAACAUUCUUGCUCAGAGAUCGGGUUUGAAGAUGAACUCGGAUGCAUUUAGAUUUUUACAAGUAAAUUAAAGGAUGUUAGAACUUGUAUUCCGAUAAACUUAUAAUACAGAAAGCAAGUAAUAUGUGACUGUACAUAAUGGCUAUGAGGCGAGGAUAUGAUAUGAGAAGAUAGAGAUGAGAGAUUGCACUUAAGGGGUUAACACCACUUUCCUUUUUGUGUUUGGUCCCCAAAGCAUCUCUUAUUGGCUGAUGUUGCAAGGCCGUCCCAUAAGUUGGUCUAAAAGUGCUUGAUAGCUAGAAUUAAUAUUGUGGUAUAACAUAUGUCACCACUAGGUUUGAAUAAGGUUACACAGUGAUUUGAUGAAGAUUUAAAAAAGCAUAGAGAUAAUUAUGUUGCAAAUAUUGUAAAAGUAAGAGCUAAAUUGUUUGGCUUUAUUAGAGUUUAGACUCUGUUAGUCUAUUACCAUUCUCUAUUAGUCUGUUACCAUUUUGUUAUAUAGGCUGUAAUAUUGUUAGAAAGCAGUUAGCAGCUGUUAGUCAUAGUAGUUAGUCAUACAAAUAUAAAUUCUAUUCAUGUAUUGUUCAAAGGUAAGCUAAUAAUAUCAGAAGCGAUUUAAUGUAUUCAUUCUACUUUUUUUUUAUUCUUCAUAAUACAGUUGUUAACAUGGUAUCAGUACCCUAAUUUCUUAGAGGUCGCUUCUAUUGUAGAUCCAUGGCCAAUUCCACUGAUUCUACCUCCACUGGUCGUAGCAGUCCCUCGUUCUCGAUUCAUGUUUGGUUCAAUCGUUUCCUCGUCGUCACACUGAGAAGUUAGAUGAAAGAAAUGUUAUGCAAUGCCAACAGCAUAUCCUAUUGAUAAUUGAAGGGUAUGAACUCAUAAGAUUUUUAGAAGGGACGUUACCUACUCCGCCUCGCUUUGUGUCAUCUCCCGAUGGAACCUUGGCUUCGGCUCCCGAUGCAUUCCUGUUUGUUCAGCAAGAUAAGUUACUCGCUCUUUGGUUGCUUUCUACGAUUAGUGCUCCUUUGUUGUCCUCUUUUAUAGCUGCUAAGACACCGUGUGAGGUUUGGAGCACUGUGAAUCACCUCUUUACUGUUUCCACCAGAGCGAAGUUAUCGCGUAUUAAGCAUGAACUCCACUCCAUCAAGAAAGGCAUGAUGACUGUCAAAGAGUAUAUUAUUAAGAUUCAAAAUACCUGCACCUUACUCGAGGCAUCUGGAUUGGUGGUUUCGAAGGCCGAGAAGGUAGAGAUCAUUCUUGCUGGCCUAUCGUCAGAUUAUGAUGUCGUUUUAACACUACCAUAGUUCUCUUCUGAAACUCUUCCGUUACAGAAGAUAGUUGUUGUGCUACUGAAGUUCGAAAGCCGUCAGACUCAUGUCGUGAAUGACAUACCUUUUCAUGCUCAUCUGGUAGAGGCCACUUCGGCGACAUCGGUGGAGGACUCCGUACAUGGUAGCCAUCCUCCUCCUGGUGCUCGUGGGCAUGACUUUCGACUCGGCUUCAGUUCCAGAUCUAUGGUUGCUAUGGACAUCUGGCACAACGCUGUUAUUAUCAUUUCAACCGCGAAUACAGUGGUCUAUCUGCUCUGACCAUGGCGCAGGCUUCGCUUUUGUGCUGGGCACUAUUCGUGUGACAAUGUUUUUGGUGCAACUGGUCUCUUGACCGGCUGGUUUCCAUCAGCUCAUCCUAGUUCAAACCCCUUCGAUGUGCCUGGACAGUGUGCCGAUUCUUCGGUGACGGUACCGGCGCAUUUCCCUUAUGGCUCCUCUUGGGGAGGAUGGCCACAUUUGUAAAACAAUGCCUCCCUUGUGCCAAGUCUACCGAAUGUUAGGGUUUCUAACCUUUUUGCUCCUAAUUUUAACAAUGAGGCAAGCUAAGUGUUUGGGCCCGCUGUUGAACCAGGCUCAAAUAGUGACCAAUCUGGUGGUCCUCACUUGCCGCUGAAGAUGGGCUAACGCAUUGGGCCAUUCGCUGGUGUUCCUAGGCCAACUGCUUCAGGCCAAGAUUUUGGCCUAAAUGGAAUUGGUAGGCCAGCCAGUGCUCGUCCUAGCAUUGGAUAGGGUUCACUUGGGUCAAAUGUCAAUUUUAUUGGACUUGAGGGUUCUUUUGGGUAUAGACAAGAGUUUGGGCCCACCACUGGCAAUGUUUCAGUGCCAAUUAAUAGAUCAUGUGUUCCAUGGCACACAAAAUCGAGGGCACGCGUUAUUGAUUUUGAUUCUUCGCUGUGCGUUGGGUUGCAUCGCUUUACUAAUUUUCACGCAUCCGAUUUUUUUACUACCACUGGGUCUAAUGCCAAUACAACUCCAUAUAGGUCUAAUUUUGAUAAUGGUAAUUCUUACAUUCCUAUGCCUAUAGGGACCUCAUCAUGGUGUCUUGAUUUAGGGGCUACGCAUCAUGUCUGUUGAGAAGUCUCUGCCUUGAAUAAGUCUACGCCAUACUCAAGUACAUCUCCUUUCUUCACGGAUGAUGGUAUUCCUACAAAAAUAUCGUAUGUUCGGAAUCUUAUCUUGUCUAUGAAAACCAAAUUGCUUCAUUUGUCUAAUGUUUUGUGUGUGCCAAAUAUACGGAAGAAUUUGCUAUUUGUUUCUCAGUUUGCUAAUGACAAUAACGUGUUCUUUAAAUAUCACCUGUCUUAUUGUGUUAUUAAAGACAUCCAGACUCAUGAAAUUUUACUACGGGGCUACACUCGUGAUGGGCUCUAUUAUUUUUCGUCGGUUACUCUUGCUCUGUUUGUCGUUGUUCCUUUUUUCAUAGCACUGGGAUCUAGAGUCGCAAUGCAUAUGAUGAUUGUUUUGCAUUAUGGCAUCACAGGCAUAGUCAUUUGUCUGCCUCGAUUGUUAAACUUGUUCUCGAUAAGUGUCAAGUUGUUUCAAAAUAAAAUGUGCCUUGAAAAUAUUUGUAUUGCAUGUCAAAACGGGAAGUCUCACAAACUGCCUUUUUCAAGUUCUACUACUGAAUAUACAAAUUUGUUUGAUUUGGUUGUCUCUAACUUAUGGGGACCAACGUCUGUUGUCUGUAGAAAUAAUUUAUAUUAUGUUUUGUUUAUCGAGAUGUGUAGUUGAUAAACCGUAAUUUAUACAUAUUUUUAUCCUAUGUUUGGCACAUUUAUAGAUGAUUUAUCCUUAGAUUUGGUGAAUUCGAUGCUCCUAAUCCUUUAAUUUCAUAUUUUAUACUUAGGAGAGCAUAGGAGGGCAAAAAGAGCGAGAAACGGGCCGAAAACGGAAAAAAUAGACCCACAUGGGAAAUCAACAUGGCCUGGACUUCCUCACACUGGUAAGCCACACGGCCGUGUCCAUUUGGCAGGAUCGAAGCAAGACUUACACGAGUAGACUACACGCCCGUGCCUUUUUAAUAGCCUUGACCACUGUCUGGAGCAAUCGCGCACGGGCAUGUCCCUGUCGAGCCCAAGUAUAGUCUUAUUCGGAAAAGGUCUAUUUUAAGGGCUCUUAGGCAUUCUAAAGCUUAUUUAAUCACCUGAGAAGGCACUUAAAAGGGGGGACACGGAGUAGGAAGCAAGGAAUUACUCGAAGAAAGCCGAUUGAUCCAUCUCAGAAGCCUGAUUAUUCAUCAAGACUGAAAAUCUCCCUUCAAUUACCAUUCAGGAGUUUUGGGUUUUCUUUAUGUUUUGUAUUCAUUAUUCUUCUGAGAUGUUUUCUUUUAUAAUUAUGAUUUAAACCCUCUAAAUACCUAAGGGGAAUGAAACCUAAACGGAUCUUGUUAUUAUUAUCUGAAUUAUAUGAUAAAUAUUUGACUUGUUUUUAAUUAUAUGUUCUUAAUUCUUGUCUUAAUAUUCCAGGAUAUUGAUUCAAGUUAAUGCGCUUAUUCAGAGGAGCAAAAGUCCCUGUCUAAGAGUAAAUUUGUCAUAAUUAAACAGAGUUGAUUGCACACCUAAAGAUAGGGUAACAAGAUUUUGCCGAAUUAGGGUGAAACCUAAUAAGGAGAUCCAUAGAUCGAGUUAAUGCAACACUAGGGCGUUAAAUAGAAAGAGAUUUCAAUUAAUCAACCUAGGGUUAGAUGUUAUUAGUCUUGAGAGAGAUAAUAAUAUAACUUAGGGAUUUGUACGGAUCAUGUCAAAUGGAUAAAUCGACUGAUUCAGAGUCAAAUAACAAGUGAAGUCUAGGUGGAUUUUUCCUUGGGUAUUGUCCUAAUCAAGCGAAUUUUCUAAAAGUAUUUUCCCCAAUUUUUCAAGCGAAUUUUCUAAAAGUAUUUUCCCCAAUUUUCUUUCUCUGCACCCUUAGUUUAGUUAAUUAGUUUUAAUAAACAAAUCCUUUAAUUUUUAGGUUAGAUAAUAAAAAGAAAGUGAUUACUAGUACUCUUGGUUCCUUUGGGUUCGACAAUUCGGUCUUGCUAAAGCUAUAUUACUGUUCGAUAGGUACACUUGUCUUUAUCGUGAUAAUAGUUGGUUUCAAUAACGAUCAUUUCUAAAUUAUUUAAAACUUAUCGCAAGUAUCAUGAAUCAAGUUUUUGGCGCCGUUUCCGGGGAACUAAGAUAUUAGGAACACUUGAUUUUUAUUACUUUAGCCAUUUUUCUUUAUUUUUACUUUAAAUUUUUAUUUUCUUUUCUAAUUUUUCUUUUAUUUGUUCCUGACAGGUUUUUAUAGUUUAUGAUUAGAAGAAACCCGUCGGGACCAUUACUGUUUGAUAGUGAGAUCGAUCGCACAGUUCACAGAAACCAAAGAAAAAUAAGACGAAGCUUAAGAUACAAAAAGGAAGAGUAAGACGACGAUACUUCAACCACAAUCGAGAAGAUGGCUGAAAACCAGGAAAAUUUGCUACCUCCUGUGAUUUCUGCUGAUCCAGUAAAUCAGAAUCCUACUCCACGCACUAAGUAUGAUUAUGCUAAACCUACUUUAACAGGAACUGAGUCAAGUAUAGUUAGGCCUGCUAUUGCUGCGAAUAAUUUUGAACUGAAACCUAACACAAUUGAAAUGAUACAGCAAUUUGUUCAGUUUGAUGGUUUGCAGGAUGAGGAUCCAAACAACCACUUGGAAAAUUUUCUAGAGUUUUGCGAUACAUUUAAAAUCAAUGGCGUUUCUACUGAUGCCAUUCGCCUUCAGUUAUUCCCUUUUUCAUUGAGGAACAAAGCUAAACAGUGGUUGAACUCGUUACCACAAGGGUCAAUCACUGCUUGGGAACAAAUGACCGAAAAAUUUUUAUUAAAAUAUUUUUCGUCGACUAAAACAGCCAAAUUACGUAAUGAUAUCUCUUCAUUUAUGCAAAUGAAUAUAGAAACACUCUAUGAUGCAUGGGAGAGAUACAAGGACCUUUUAAGAAGAUGUCCUCACCAUGGGUUACCACUCUGGCUACAGGUUCAAACGUUUCACAAUGGCCUGAAUCCUUCGACUAGACAGAUGAUUGACGCAGCUGUUGGAGGAACUAUCAAUAAUAAGACACCUGAGGAUGCUUAUGAAUUUAUAGAAGAGAUGUCACUAAAUAAUUAUCAAUAGCAAGUCAUGAGGACAAAACCGAUGAAAGCAACCGGGGUUUUUAAUGUUGAUUCGGUCACCAUACUUUCUAAUCAGGUAGAACUUUUGAAUAGAAAAAUUAACAGUUUUUUUGGUUCUUCACAGGUUCACCCAGUAAUGCAAUGCAAUGCAAGUGGGGGAGAAUUGAGCAAUUCAGAAUGCCCACCCUAUGGCCACAACAUGAAAAACAAGCAAUUAAAUUAUAUGGAUAAUAAUCCUCGACCUCAAAAUAAUCCUUAUAGUAACACUUACAAUACAGGAUGGAGGAACCACCCAAAUUUCUCAUGGGGAGGCCAAGGGAAUCAGAGACCACCACCAUUUCCAGGUUUCUAACAGCAACCUUACCAGCAAAAUAAAAAUUUGAACCUUGAGGAAAUGCUAACAAAAUUCAUCUUGGUGUCAGAAACUCGUUUCCAGAAUACCGAGACAGCACUUAAAAAUCAACAAGCGUCGAUCCAAGGGCUCGAAACUCAGAUAGGCCAGCUCGCUAAAUUGAUAUCUGAAUGAACACAAGGUAGCCUACUGAGUAACACUGAAUCUAACCCAAGGGAGCAACUCAAUGCGAUUGCCAUUCAAGAUGAGGAAGGGUUAGUUACAUCUAAACCAGAACCGAGGCAAGAAACUGUGGUAAGUAAAGGUAAAGGUAAGGUAAACCACAUCGAGCAGAAACCGGUAAGUAAAGAGUACAAACCACGAGUGUCAUACCCAAAUGCGACAAAGAAAGACCAUACAGAUGAACAAUUUUGUAAACUCCUUAAACUAUUAAAGAAAUUACACAUUAACUUACCGUUUAUUGAAGCCCUUUCGUAGAUGCCGAACGCAGUCAAGUUUUUAAAGGAGCUUUUAGGAAACAAGUGAAAGUUGGAUGAAGCGUCGCAUGUGGAGUUGAACGUAGCUUGCUCAGCUAUUCUACAAAAUAAGCUACCCAACAAAUUAAAAGAUCCAGAGAGUUUUACAAUUCCUUGCUUAAUUGGUAGCUUAGAUGUUAAUAAUACUUUGGCUGAUUUAGGGGCUAGCAUCAAUGUCAUGCCUUACAAAAUGUUUAAGUAACUAGGUCUUGAGAAACCCAAACAAACUAAGAUGAGUAUUCAAUUAACCGAUGAAACAAUUAGAUUUCCUAGGGUUAUUAUUGAAGAUGUACUCAUUAAAAUUGACAAAUUUAUAUUCCCAGUUGAUUUCGUUGUUCUAGACAUAGAGGAGGAUAGUAACGUUCCUUUAAUUUUAGGGAGCCCUUUUUAGCAACUGUUAGAACAAUAAUUGAUGUUGGCACAGGUGAACUCACACUUCGUGUGGGAGACGAAACAAUCACCCUUUAAGCUCGUAAUUCAAGUAACACAUCAAAAAUUGAAGGUGGUUGUAUAAAUCAUACUAUUAAAACUGAUCAUUUGGUGAAACCUUCCUGGCAGGAAACACGUUCAAAGAACACACCUGAGCCAUGUUCGAGUAACGACAAAAGACCUAUCUAUGAAGAAUGAAGGCUACAACUUGAGGAACUAGAUGAAUAGCUGACACAUAAACCGAGGACACACGAUAAACCAAAACCAUGCCAUGACGAGCUCAAUAUUUCACCAAAUCAACUUAAGGUUGGAGACAAAGUACUACUAGAUGCGGUAGACCCUCGUAUUGCUACGUCUGAACCUAACGGAGCAAUCCCUCUUACAGUACUCAACAUUUUCCCAUAUGGUACAGUCGAGGUUAUUCAUCCCAAACUCGGCACUUUUAAGGUAAACAGUACUCGUCUUAAACCUUAUUUUGAUAAAAUUGAUAGCAGGGAUGAGGAGUGUGAACUCCUCACAUCACAAUGACCAUGCAACAGAAAGGUAAGUCGAGCUUAGACUAUAAAUAAGCGUUUUUCGGGAGGCAACCCGAGCAUUAAUGAUGUUAACUUUUUUAAAAUUUUAGUUUUUUACAUCUAAUCACUAACUGAGUCAGUGAAACACAGGUUUUCUAAUCUACACGGCCAAGCACACGGACAUGCCUUAGGCCGUGCUCACACCAUGGGAGGAGACACAGCCGUGCGAUACUGCCGUGUGAAAACAGGGUAAAAUUUUUCCUUAACACGGGAUGUGAUAAGUUGCCACGGCCGUGCGAUGUAGCCGUGGGCGAGUCUUUCAAACCAACACAGGCGUGUGACACACCCGUGUCUAUAAACCAUGGUUGAAACUGAGAAUUUAGCACGAGCAUGUCCUAUCAACCGUGCUCAAGACUGAAAAAAGAACACGGGCGUGGACAUCUAUACACGGGCAUUGGAGAAGAGAAUGAAACAGAACAUGGUCGUGUGACACAGACGUGUGCACCAACACGCCCAAAGAGCACGGGCGUGUGAAGAAUUUCAGACACGCCCAAAUUUGAAAAUUACGAUAAACACGAGCUGAAAUAAGGGCACAUGGGGGUGCCCCACGACCGUGUGCCCCAAAAUCUAUAUAAACCCCUUACUAUUCAUCACCCCCUUCCCCAAAAUCUCUAACCCUAGCCGCUGCAACUUCACAUGCCCUACCUGCCACGCCCGUGCACCGUCCACAGCACCACCUUUGACAACCCAAAGCUCCUCCCUCUUACGUUUGUACAUUUUUUUCCUUCUAUUCUCUUCAUUCUUUUACUUAUUUGAUGAUAUUUUAUUUUAUUUUGAGUAAAUAAUCAUAGUUAUAAUGAUAGAAUACUUAUGCUCUUUGUUAAGAAAUUUACCAUUUUAAUUGAUAUAUUUUGCUGCAUUUAUCCACUUUUCUUGUUUCCAUAGAUUUCAUGCUUACCCACACCAUAUUUCAUACUUAUUAAACCCACAUGCAUUCAUUCAAUAGAUAUUUCCAUUAGCAUUACUCUCGUAGUCCUAUUCAUAGUAAUGACUUAAUAUAUCUGAUUGGGUUAUUUUUAGUAUAGUUGUUCUUUAGUACAUGACUUCUAUGAAGUAUCUCUAUUAGUUUUACCAUGCAUAUUUUCUAUGCUAUUGCUGGGGAGUAAUUUUAUUUUUUAUUUUUUCUUGCCAUUGUAGGUAUACUAUCUCAACCUUACGUGGUAAGGAGACCGCCAUCCCCUCUUCGAAGAAAAGGAAAGGAGCAACGUCAUCCUCAGGUCCUACCGCUGAGAUCCGUUACCCUUUCCUCCAGUUUCCCUUUGGACCCCAGGAGGAACUAUUUCAGAUAUUACGGGUCCGACCCUUAGGUGUAGGCCACUGCAUUGACUGGGCUGCACUUAAAAAAAUUCAAAUGGCUGACGUGGUCCAAGCCCUCCUGACGACUACCCGUGGAGGCUUUUCUUUGAGAUCAUCGAGCCGAUGUACCACGAGCUCACAAUGGAACUCUACUCGACCUUCCAUCUUCAAGUCGCCAUGAUAAACUGCGACGAUCCUAGAACGGUCCAAUUCCACCUCAGUGGUCUAGUGCGCCAGUUGAGCGUACCGAAGUUCAGAAUUGCACUAGGGCUGUAUAUGGAAGAGUUCAUGGAUGACAACGAACUUGACACCCUCUAUUGCCACAUCCACUACUCUCUCUCCAAAUGCUGGAAGGACUUUGUCCCUGCCUCGGCCACCUAUGAUCCUAACUACUCUAAGGCAUCAGCCCUCACCCCAUCCCUGUGAUACCUACACGCCAUCUUAGCCCACACUCUGACAGGGCGGCGAGAGAGCACCGGCAUCAUCAACACUCACGACGCCUACUUUUUAUAGAGCAUGGCAAACGGGCACGUCUUCGACCUUGCCUAUUUCAUUGCUCUCGCCAUCCGCCAUCAGACGGAGCGGCAUAGGAGAGGAGUUAUCACCAUUAGCCACUAUGUGACUCGACUGGCACGGCACUUCGGGCUCCUCAACACAGCAGCAUAAUCAUCCUCACUCACUCUCAUUGGUCAUAUGUCCCCUCAAGGCAUCUCGAGUAUGCUACAUAUGAGGAUGCUCGAGAAACGACGUGGAACUUACCCUCCUCAGUACCGCCUCGUCCAGUCCACUAAAGAGGAGAACCCAUAAGACAUUACUGAUGAUGUCCCUCCACGUCAUGAGGACCCACCGUCUCAACCAUCACCCAUCCAUCGUCCAGUUCAUGCGGUGGCUUCAUACUCUGAUAUCUCUAAGCACCUUACUCGAUUUAAGCAGCAGUGUUUUCAGUGCUUUGAUCACAUUGAUGCUACUCUUCAUCAGAUUUGUCAGCACCUUCACAUCUCAUCGCCACCACCACCUCGCGAACCAUCCGGCGAUGCUGAUGUUUAAAGACUUUUUAUUUUUUAUUUUUAUUUCCACUUUUAUCUUUAUUUAUCUUCUUUAAGUAGUUUUUAUUUUAUUUUCCUUUAAUAUUAUUUCAAUUUUAGGUUUUAUAAUUUUUAUUGAAUAAUUUAUAGUUUUGGCUAUUUUAUUACGAGUAAUUAUGCUUCCUUAUAUUUCCUAAAGAGUUCUUGAUUUUAUCACAGUUAUAAAGAGCUCUAAAGCUCAUCAUCACUUAGGAACUAAAAAAUCACUGGAAAAGGUUCUCCACAACUGUCAAGUCCUGCUCGACCACGACCACAGCUACUACCAGAUAUAAUAUUCUGUUGGCGCAGGACUUAUGGACUAAUGAACCUCUACCACCACCGGAGUAUCCUCCUCCACUCUCAUCAUUGCCUUGGCUGAUUAUUCUCCAUAACUCCAAUUGAAGGAGUUCAUUCAUCAUUCAGGAAGUUUAACUUCUCUUCUUAUCUUAUGAGUAUUUAUCUAUAUUUUUCAGUAUAUCUAUCUUUGUACAUUGAGGGCAAUAUACAUCUUAAGUGUAGAGGGUCUUUUAUAUCAUUAUCAGAAAAAUCCCUGAAUUUUAUCUUGUUCUCAAAUCAUCUUCUCAUAUCAUUAUUAGAAUAAAAUUUGAUUAAUUUAUGAUUGUUAUUGAUAUGUCUUCAAUUAAAACAUAGGCAUUCAUGUAUUGAUUGUUUAAACUUUAAGGAAUUAGAUAAUCAAGCAGGAUAAGUUGAUUUUUGAGAAUUAAAAAUUUUUAGGUUGUUUCCCCAAGUUUAGGUAUUAUCUCGAGUUAAAAUUCACAGGGUUAACAUCAACAAGCCAUAAUUUCUGUAAGAUCUUGAGCCUUUAGAGCAACUAUUAUUUCUUUCAUGCUCACUGUUAUUAUUGAUAAUGAGUGUGUCAAUAUUGAUUUAUUAUUCUAGAACUUGCUUGAUUAUGCAUGUCAAGACCACACCCUUGAGUUAAUAUGUCAAUAUGAUAAAGGCACCUAGGUUUAACCCACUCACUCCAUAAAAGCAUACCUUCAUAAUUUACCCUUAGUGAACCCCUUUGAGCCUAACAAGCCAUUAAUUGAUUUACCCUCAAUGUUAACCCAUAACACAUUAUUGUUGAAAUCCCCUAAUUUGAUCCCUAUUUUUGUCGAGAUUUGAUUUGAAUUAUUGCAUAGCUAUGUUUUAUUCUUCGUUGCAAUAAUUAGCAAAGUCCUAUGUUAUUUCACUUGUUUAUUUCACUUGUUCCUAAAAAAAAAUACAAUACUUACUUACAUAUUAAUAGUAAUUCGUCAUUUUUGAGCUUAAGUGUUAAUUCCAUAUUCUAAGAAGAAGCUCACUCGUAUUCAACUUAUAAUUAGUUGUUUUUCUAGUUAGGUGAUUUUUUUAAUUCAAUCUCGAUUCUAACCUUUCCUUUUAGCUUGUGACCACACCCCCUAACCAAAGCCACGUUACAACCCUCUAAAGACCUUUUGAUUGAUGUAUCAUCUCAAUAUAUAGUGGUGGAGAUUUGAUUUUCUGCAAGCCUAUGGUAAUAACUUUUCAUAUUGACUAAUGAGUGCUUCAUUUAUUAUCCUUAAACACCUCGAGUGAUUUGAGUGAAUCUUUAGUGAGGAUGUUAAACUCCGUGAUAUUUUGAAUCAAAGGUAAUCACUUAGAUGAGGGGAGACACCUAUGUUUUCGUGAUGAAAUGCUCAACUUGGAAUGUUUGAAACUUUGAUAUUCUUCUAGUUGAAUUCUCCAUGUAUGAUUACUUAUGAUUUAUUUUAAGAUAUUAUUGAUAGAGAUUAUAGAUUGAGAAGAAUUUAUUUUGAUUGUGAGUUGAGGAUUUUGCUUGAGGACAAGCAAACGCUUAAGUGUGAGAGUUUUUGAUAAACCGCAAUUUAUACAUAUUUUUAUCCCAUGCUUAGCACAUUUAUAUAUGAUUUCUCCUUAGAUUUGGUGAAUUUGAUGCACCAAAUCCUUUAAUUUCAUGUUUUAUACUUAGGUGACCAUAGCAGAGUAAAAAGAGCGAGAAACAGGUCGACAACGGAGAAAAAUAGACCCACAUGGGAAAUCGACACGGCCUGGACUUCCUCACACGGGUAAGCCACACGGCCAUGUCCAUUUGGCAGGAUCGGCGUACAAUUUACACAGGUAGACUACAUGCCCACGAUUAUUUAGCAACCUUCACCACGGUUUGGAGCAAUCGCACACGGGCGUGUCACACAGGCGUGUCCCUGUCGAGCCCAAGUAAAGUCCUAUUCGAAAAAGGCCACUUUUGAUGGCUCUUAGGCAUUCUAAAGCCUAUUUAAACACCUGAGGAGGCAGUUAGAACGGGGGGACACAGAGUAGGAAGCAAUGAAUUACUCGAAAAAAGCCGAUUGAUCCAUCUCAGAAGCUGGAUUAUUCAUCAAGACUGAAGAUCUCUCUUCAAUUUCCAUUCAAGAGUUUUGGGUUUUCUUUAUGUUUUGUAUUCAUUAUUCUUCUAAGGGGAAUGAAACUUAAGACGAAUCUUGUUAUUAUUAUCUAAAUUAUAAGAUAAAUAUUUGACUUGUUCUUAAUUAUGUAUUCUUAAUUCUUGUCUUAAUAUUUCAGGAUAUUGAUUCAGGUUAAUGCGCUUAUUCAGAGGAGCAAAAGUCCCUGUCUAAGAGUAAAUUUGUCAUAAUUAAGUGGAGUUGAUUGCACGCCUAGAGAUAGGGUGACAAGAUUUUACCAGAUUAUGGUGAAACCUAAUAAGGGAUCCAUAGAUCGAGUAAAUGCAACACUAGGGCGUUAAUUACAAAGAGAUUUCAAUUAAUCAACCUAGGGUUAGAUGUUAUUAGUCUCGAGAGAGAUAAUAAUAUAACUUAGGGAUUUCUACGAAUCAAGUUAAAUGAACAAAUCGCCUGAUUCAGAGUCAAAUAACAAGUGAAUCUAGGUGGAUUUUUCCUUGGGUAUUGUCUUUAUUAAUCGAAUUUUCUAAAAAGUAUUUUCCCAAUUUUUAGGCUAGAUAAUAAAAAGAAAGUAAUUACUAGUACUCUUGGUUCCUUUGGGUUCGACAAUUCGGUCUUGUUAAAGCUAUACUACUGUUCGAUAGGUACACUUGCCUUCAUCGUGAUAAUAGUUGGUUUUAAGAACGAUCAUUUAUAAAUUAUUUAAAACUUAUCGCAAAUAUCAUAAAUCAGUAGUCGUUUUACAUGGAUUUAUCUCAUUAAAUGAAUGUCUCAGAUGGUUGACUAUUUUUUUCAGUUUCAAAAAAUGGUCAAAACUCAGUUUGGGAAAGAUAUUAAAAAUUUUCAAAGUGAUUGGGGUGGUGAGUUUCGUGCCUUCGCAUCAACUCUUGCUAUUCAUGGGAUACUUCAUCACCUCUCCCGUCCACAUACAUCCGAGCAGAACGGUAUAGCCAAACCAAAACAUCAAGACAUUGUUGAGAUAGGUCUUACUCUCUUGACCCAAGCUAAUAUGCCCAUGGAUUUCUGGGGUUACGUGUUUUGCAGUGUCGUUUAUCUCAUUAAUCGUCCACCUACCUUGGUUUUGAAAGGUCAAUCUCCGUAUUAAGUUCUUCAUGGUAGUGACCCUACAUAUGAUCAUUUACGGGUGUUUGGGUGUUAUUUCUUUCCAUACUUGCGUCUGUUUCUGCAACAGAACUUGGAUUUUUGUUCUCAGCCUUGCACAUUUUUAGGGUAUAGUUCUCAACAUAAAGGCUAUCACUGCCUCACACCAGAUGGUAAGGCCAUUGUCUCUUAUCAUGUUGUGUUUGAUGAACGUCGAUUUCUCUUUUUUUUUAUGUUGCAAACACCGUCCAGUCAGGUCCAUGUAUCUCUACAUAUGUUCCUAUUGCUCAGUCUUCAUCUGCCGCGCCACGGCAUCCUCGCUUGUUCAGCCCAUUAAGUCCUCUUGACUCUUACUCCUAAUUGUAGUUCCAAGACGUCUAUUUCAGUUGACUCUCCGACUGAAUUGGGUUCUACUCAUGAGGUGCACCGGCUCUUCACCUCAUCUCCUGAAUCACGUCAAUGCGACUCUACUACAAUUCCCUCGGUUAUUCCAUCUAUUUUUCUAGAGAAUACUCAUAACAUGAUUACUCGGUCUAAGGCUAGUAUUUCUAAACCCAAAGCUUUCUCUGUUGAAACUGUCGACUAUGAGCCACACACGAUUGAUGAGGCACUCGCUAGUAAGGAAUGGCAAUUAGUUGUCCAAGCUGAGUUUGUUGCUCUAAUGGCUAACUCUACCUGGGAGCUUGUUCCCUUACUUCAUUGUCGAAAAGUGAUUGGGUGUAAGUGGCUUUUUAAAAUAAAAAAAAUCCUGAUGGGGCUAUCACUUGGCACAAGGCUCAGCUGGUAGCAAUGGGUUGUUCUUAGGUACCUGGGUGUGAUUUCAAAGAAACCUUUAGUCUAAUGGUUACACCUACUACUAUUAGAAAAAUAUUGUCUAUUUCUGUUUCCAAUGGGUGAAAACUUCGUCAAAUCGAUGUGAAUAAUACCUUUUAAGAUGGUGAUCUCACUGACGAAGUGUUUAUGCAACAACCUUCAGGCUAUGUUCAGAUUGGUCCAUAUCGUGAGCUAUUGGUGUGUCGUCUGAAAAAGGAGUUGUAUGGAUUACGACAAGCUCCACGUGCCUGGUUUGAUAAAUUGAAACAUUUUUUCUACCAGAUUUGUGUUAUCCAAAUCUGAUGCAUCCCUGUUUGUUCGAGUUACGUACGUAUCCACUAUUUAUGUUCUAAUCUAUGUGGAUGAUAUUACCGUUACUGAAAGUACGACUGACGGUAUAAAUGACUUUAUUCAACAGUUACAUAAUAAGUUUUCCCUUAAAGAUAUGGGAGAUCUUCACUACUUCUUAGGUAUUCAAGUCACUCGGUCAUCCACUAGAAGUCUUCAUUUGUGCCAACGCAAAUACAUCUAGGAUCUGCUUGACAGGAGUUCCUGGGCUAACGUGAAAAGUGUUCACACACUGAUGGUUAGUUCUUUUACAUUGUCUAAAGAUGAGAAAAAUCACCUCGUUGAUCCCACUAAAUAUAGGAGCCUUGCCGGAGCAUUACAAUAUGUGGUCUUAACUCGGCCUAAUAUUGCUUAUGCGGUAAAUCGUGUUUGUCAAUUCAUGCAUAUGCCUACUACGGUACAUUUGGUGGCUUUGAAAAUAAUCUUGCGCUAUUUACGUGGCACUAUUGAUCAUGGGUUAAUUUUUCGUCCGUUCGACAGAUUGUCUUUAGUUGGCUAUGCUGAUUCCAACUGGGGACUGGAUUUUGAUGAUCGUCAGUCAACCAUAGACUAUUGUGUGUAUUUUGGACAUACAUCCAUCUUUUUGUGUUCUAUGAACCAACAAGUUAUUUUUCACUCCACGGCUGAUGCGAAGUAUCGUAGUCUAGCAGUAGCUACCAGUGAUGUUACUUGGUUAGCCUCUCUGUUAACGAAUUUAAAAAUUUGUUCUGCAAAUCCACUUACUAUUUGGUGUGACAAAUCUAGUGCAAUAGUGGUUGCUGCUAAUCCGGUUUUACACUCCAAAUUUAAACAUGGCGAGCUUGAUCUAUUUUUUGUUCGCGAAAAUGUCACUAAUGGUUCUCUCAUUGUUGGCGAAGUUCCGGCAUGUGAUCAGGUUGCUAGUAUUCUCACAAAACCAUUGUCCAUCUCUACUUUUGCUAGGUUUCAUAGUCUGCCUCAAGUCUUACCUCUUGAGAAGCUGGAUGAAGCCGGGUGAAUAUUAGAGUAUAGACUCUAUUAGUCUGUUACCAUUUUGUUAUACAGGCUAGAAUAUUGUUAGUAACCAGUUAGCAGCAAUUAGUCAUAGCAGUUAGUCAUACAAGUAUAAAUUCUAUUUAUGUAUAGUUCAAAGGUAAGCUAAUAAUACCAGAAGAGAUUUAACGUGUUCAUUCUACUUUCUUUGUUAUUCUUCAUAAUACAGUUGUUAACAGGCUUGAUAUCAUCUCUUAGAGAAAACUAGGAGAGAUAAGAGUAAGAGUAUGAGCAAACUAUGGAUAAGGCUCUACCAUAAUACCUUAGAUGCAGUUAAAGUAAGAGUAAGAGCCAACUUGUUUGGCUUGAUAGCAUCCCCUUAUAGAAAAAGCUCUACCGCAUGGCAUUAGAGCAAUAAAAGUAACACUUAAUUUCUUGGUUGAUAGCAUCUCGUAGGGGAAAAAGGUUUACCAUGUGACAUGAAAGUAAUUAAAGUAAGAUUAAGAGCUAACUUGUUUGUCUUAAUCGCAUUGUUUAAGAGAGAUCCAAAUAAAUUUACUCAAAAUAUGUUAAUCAAAUAAUGCAAAUUACAAUGUUUUGUCAAUUUUUCCUUUAAUUGUAACUGGGUUAAAGUUGGUAGUUGUAACUGGUACUAAUAGAAUAGAUUUGGUAGAAAUGGUUGAAAGCAACAUAAGCAAAGAUGACUUUGAUGUCAUUGUAUUGACCACGUGGGAACUAUAGAAUGUAGAGAAUAGUAUGGUGAUUGGCAUCAGAAUGUUGCUAACUUUGAGGACAGUAGAUAAGGAUGGAUCCAAAGGGGCUGUGGGCGGCCCCCUUGAAAUUUUCAAAUUUUUGAAUUUAUAUAUAAAUUAUCAUGUAUUUUAGAUUUGGUGUCCACAUUGUAUAACAUUCACCCCCUUUGCCAAAUUGUAUUUCAUAUCAUUCGCCCCCUUAAACCAUAAGGUUAUACUUUAUAUUAACAAAGUAUUUUCCAUUUUUUUUAAUUAUAUAAAUUUAAUAAUAACAAUAAUAAUAAAAUAUUAAUGUAUGAUAGGCAUUGAAAGACUAAACUUAUAGGUCCAAUUUGGACUUUAAAGCCAAAUUCUAUAAUUAAUUAAUUGAUUUGGCUCAUACCUAUACAUAUUAGGUUAGCGACUUUCUUGUAUUUUGAUUUGUAUGUCUUCUUAAGGAAUUAUCUUCCUUUGGUAAAGUGUUGACACUACCAAGAGAAAAAGAAAGGAUUUUGAUGACGAGACUAAGAGUAUAGAGCAAAAAUAUACAAAUUAUCUUCCUCUUGGCUCCUUAUGCAAAAAACCUCUCGGUAAAUUUUUUGCAUAAAUUAUGUUCUUUAUUUAUUUGACUUAUUUUUUUUAUUUUUUCCUAAUAUAUUUUGUUUAAUAUAUUAUUAAAAUCAUCAGGUUUUUCGAUUAAAUAAUGGUCAAUAAAAAGAUCGAAUCUAUUUUUUUAAAAAAAAGGUGUCAGAAAGCAAUAGUGAUCAACCAGUUCCUUAACCUUCUGUUAUUCGUGAAGAAAAACCAAAUAUUGGAUAUUCCCAAGCUCCUGAAUGAAAUAUUAGGUCUUAUCAAGCCCAAACUUUUGAAUGCGAUAUGGAGUCUUCCCCAGUUCUUAAACUAGAUUGUUACACUCCUUACCUGAUCCGAUCACCAAAUCCAUGUAGAGAGUACCACAACUUAAACCAUAUGAAUUGAAUAAUAAAUAUUUGAAAUUUAUUAAAGUAUCGAGUUCUUGGUGUAACCCUCAGUAUAAUAAUAUGAAACAAUCAAAUCAAUGAUACGCCAGGAACAAACAUUUUUAGGAAAAACACAUGGCGGAAACCUUACAAAAGUUUAUAAGUUUAUAUGAAAUGUAAGAUGAGUUAAUCCCAUACAAUAGUUUCAAGUGCAUUUUUGGCAGUUAAAACAACACUCUAAAACUAUUUGGUGUAGAUGCCAAUGAGACAAUCAUGUGGAAUAAGAUAUAGUAGCAUAAACACAUACAUCACUUACCAUGUCAUUAUAACAUAUACUAACCACAUAAACAAAUUUCUCGAGCUGCGAACGAACAAGUUUACCCAAACAUCUGGGGUUGGUAGAUAGCUUAUCAGAAAAGCCCUCCAAAUCCUAGAGUUCACCAAAACCUGGAGUUCGCCAAAUAGAGAUUCCCAUAGAAUACGCCAAACACACAACCAAAAAACAAAUACUCUACUAACUUACUUAUUUUUUAUUCUUAGCAUAAACAACUAUGCGCCAAAAAGUAACUUGAUACAUUAUCCAUCAGGCGGGUUGUUACAAUUCUCCCUCACUUAGAAAAUUUUGUCCUCAAAAUUCUUAACGGUGAAUAACUGAGGAUAUUGUUCUUUUAUUGAACUCUCUCUUUCCCAAGUGGAUUCUUUUUUAUUGUGAUUUCUCCAUAAUACAUUAACAAAAGGAAUUCUUUUUCUUCUCAACUUUUUUACCUCCCUUGCUAAUGCGAACAGGUUCUUCUUCAUAGGAUAUGUUUGGCUCCUUUUCUAAUGCUUUGACUUGUACCACAUGAUCUGGUUUGGAUUGAUAUUUUCUUAACACGAACACAUUAAUCACAUUGUGUAUCUUUGAUAACUCUAGUGGCAACACCAAUCUGUAUGCCACUGGACCAACCAGUUCCAAAAUCUCAUAUGGUCCUACGAAAUGCAGACUUAAUUUCCCUUUUUAUUCUAACCUUAUGAUAUUCUUCCAAAGAGAAAACUUCAUAAAUACAUUGUCACCCACUUCGAAAGAGAUUUCUUUCCUUUUUAGAUCAACAUAAGCUUUCUGACGAUCUUAAGUUACUUUCAGAUGAUUUCAAAUAAUAGAGACUUUCUCUUCUGUUUCUUGUACUAAAUCAAAACCAACUAUUUUCCUUUCACUGAGUUCCAUCCAACAGGUGGGAGAUCUACGCUUUCUUCCAUACAAAGCUUCAAAUGGUGAUAUUUCUAGAUUGGCGUGAUGACUAUAAUUAUACACAAACUUUGGCAAAGAAAGAUAUCUUUCUCAAUUCAUUCUGAAAUCUAUAAUACAACUUCUGAGCAUGUCUUCCAAAACUUGAAUUACUCUUUCAAAUUGUUCACCUGAUUAGGGAUGAAAGGCAGUACUGAAUCAUAUCUUGGUUCCUAACGAUUCUUGUUGUUGUCUUCAAAAUCUUGAUGUAAACAUUAGGUCUCGAUCUAAAACUACGGAUGUUGGAAUCCCAUGAAGACAUACAACUUCAGAAACGCAGAGCUUAGCCAACUUUUCCAAUGAGUAAUUUGUGCGGGCAAACAAGAAAUAGACUGACUUAGUAAGUCGAUCUACAAUUGCGCAAACUGAAUUCUUCUUUGAAAGGCUGAAAGGGAGAGCCAAAACAAAAUCCAUGGUGAUGUUAUCCCACUUCCACUUAGGUAUCUCUAAAGGGUACAACUUGCCUAAGGGAACCUGAUGUUCUGUUUUAAUCCGCUGACAUGUCAAAGAAAUGGAGAUGUACUCUGUUAUUUCUUUCUUCAUUCCAGGUCACCAAUACAAACUUCUCAAAUUACGAUACAUUUUAUGUAAUGCUCUCAACCCGACUCGAUAUGUCGAGUUUGGAUCUCGGGUAUUACUAUACACAGUACUUAGUAAAAUAUCAAAAUAGCUGACAAAUACUCUUUACUAAAAACAUUUUCUUAUUAUUUUAACCGAAAGAGUAAAUAUUUAAUAACAAGGGUAAAUAUUAGAAAUAAAAUAAAUUAUUACAUCAGACUUGGUACAACUGAUUAUAGUAUAAAAUUUUGUUAAAGACAGACUCUUGGGGAAUAACCCUAAUCUAUGCCACUUUUCCACUAUAUACAUAAUAACCCACUUCAGCACUAUCUUGGCAUACUCCUAGCAUCGUCACUCCUAACGCAUUCUCUACCCAUACACCUAAAAACAACAACAUUAUAAGCUCAAGAGAACUUAGUGAAUUUUAUCCCAAAAAUACCUUGGCGAGUACUUUAAUUAUUUGACUAACAUCUGUGCGCCAUCUAUCUUUUUAAACCACCUUCUUCUGAAUCAGACGGAUACUAUUACAGAUUCGACUUUCACUUAUACGCCAGCUAUCAUACUCUUAACACACUCACUUAUUCUAGAACAGUUUUUCACAUAUAUUAAUCAUUGACAGAUACAUACAUUUUUGGUGAAUACUUACGCAGAUCUAAAUACCAUCAAACUACUAAUCAAAUCAUACAUUGAUUCGAUACCAUACAAACUCCCAUUGAUAAUGUACUACACAAUUUAUUCAAAUGAAUUUUCCACUACUUUGUUACAGGACCCCAGAAAAUCAUCAUAACAAUAACUCAAUUUCCAUAUGAUUUCAAAAAAGGAUAUAAUACAACCCAAAUAUGGCGAAUUCCAGACAACUCAGAUUCAACAACUGUAUAACAUAGACAAAAUCACAUUGAUAAUUUCUUAUGUCCCAAAUAACUAUGAAUACGUCCAUAUUCAAUACUAACAGAUAAUCAUGACGGAUACCCUUCUUAUACAUAUAUGCAUUUCUUUUCUAAAAAUCUCUUAAGACUUACUCAGUUAUAUCACAGAUCUUAUUCAACCUUUAACUUCAGACGUAUCAUAAACCUAUCAGAUCAAUAUCUGUCACAAAGAAAUUGGCAUUUACCCAGAUUUUACAAUAAAGGCAGAUAAUCAUAUUAUAGUAGACAAACUUAACUGAAAGUGCUACAAAGGCCAAACAAAAUAUGCCAUAAAGGCUUCAUACAAAAUCAUGUGUUUACUAUCUCGACGGAUGAUACAUGAUAUUCGUGACAGGUUUUAAAAAUUUAUAAUUAAUCGUUCUUUAAAUUAACUAUUAUCACGAUGAAGGCAAGUGUACCUCUCGAACAGUAAUAUAGCUUUAGCAAGACCGGAUGGUCGAACCCAAAGGAACCAAGAGUACUAGUAAUUGCUUUCUUUUUAUUAUCUAGCCUAAAAAUUAAGGGAUUUAUUUAUCUAAUUAAUUAACUAAACUAAGGGUGCACAGAAAGAAAAUUGGGGAAAAGCUUUUGGGAAAACUCGAUUGAUUAAGACAAUACCCAAGAAAAAAUCCACCUAGACUUCACUUAUUAUUUGACUCUAAAUCAGACGAUUUAUUCAUUUGACUUGAUCCGUAGAAAUCCCUAAGUUAUAUUAUUAUCUCUCUUGAGACUAAUAACGUCUAACCCUAGGCUGAUAAUUGAAAUCUCUUUCUAAUUAACACUCUAGUGUUGCAUUAACUCGAUCUAUGGACUCCCUUAUUAGGUUUCACCCUAAUCCAGUAAAAUCUUGUCACCCUAUCUCUAGGCGUGCAAUCAACUCCGCUUAAUUAUGAAAAAUUUACUCUUAGAUAAGGACUUUUGCUCCUCUAAAUAAGCACAUUAACUUGAAUCAAUAUCUUGGAAUACUAAAACAAGAAUUAAGAACACAUAAUUAAGAACAAGUCAAAUAUUUAUCAUACAAUUCAGAAAAUAAUAACAAGAUCCGUCUUAGGUUUCAUUCCCCUUAGGUAUUUUGAGGUUUUAGUUCAUAAUUAUGAAAGAAAACAUCUCAAAAGAAUAAUGAUAACAAAACAUAAAGAAAACCCAAAACUCCUGAAGGAAAUUGAAGGGAGAUCCUCAGUCUUGACGAUGAAUCCGGCUUUUGAAAUGGAUCAAUCGGCUUUCCUUGAGUAAUUCAUUGCCUCCUACUCCCUAUGUAUCUUCUAAGUGCCUCCUCAGGUGUUUAAAUAGGCUUUAUAAUGUCUAAAAGCCCUCAAGAGUGGCCUUUUCUGAAUAGGACUGAACUUGGGCUCGAUAGGGACACGCCCGUGUGACACGCUCGUGUGCAAUUGCUUCAGACCGUAGUCAAGGCUACUAAAUAGGCAUGGGCGUGUGGUCUACCCGUGUGAGGAAGUCCAGGCCGUGUUGAUUUCUGAUGUUGGUCCAUUUUCUUCAUUUUCAGCCCGUUUCUCGCUCUUUUUACUCUCUUAUGCUCACCAAAGUAUAAAACAUGAAAUUAAAGGAUUAGGAGCAUCGAAUUCACCAAAUCUAAGGAGAAUUCAUCCAAAAAUAUGCUAAGCAUGAGGUAAAAAUAUGUAUAAAUUAUGGUUUAUUAAAUACCCCCACACUUAAGCGUUUGCUUGUCCUCUAGCAAAAUCCUCAACUCAAAAUCAAAAUAAAUUCUUCUUAACUUGUAACCCCUAUCAAUAAUAUCUCAAAAUAAACCAUAAGUAAUCAUGUAUUGAGAAUUCAACUAGAAAAGCAUUAAAGUCUCAAACAUUCCAAGUCGAGCAUUUUAUCACGAAAACAUAGGUGUUUCCCCUCAUCUAAGUGAUUACCUUUGAUUCAAAAUAUCACAAAGUUUUAACAUCCUCACUAAAGAUUCACUCAAAUCACUCGAGGUGUUUAAGGAUAAUAAAUGAAGCACUCAUUAGUCAAUAUGAAAAGUUAUUACCAAAGGCUUGUAUGAAAGUCAAAUCUCCACCACUAUAAAUUGAGAUGAUACAUCAAUCAAAAGGUCUUUAGAGGGUUGUAAAGUGGCUUUUGUUAGGGGGUGUAGUCACAAGCUGAAAGAAAGGUUAGAAUCAAGAUUGAAUUGAAAAAUUACCUAACUAGAAAAAUAACUAGUCAUUACUUGAAUACAUGUAAACUUCUUCUCAAAAUAUGAAAUUGAACACUUAAGCUCGAAAACAACGAAUUACUACUAAUAUAUGUAUGUAUUAUAAUUUUUUUUAAGAACAAGUCAAAUAAUAUAGGUUAAUUAUCAAAAAUAAAACAUAGCUAAGUAAUUUAUUCAAAUUAAAUCUCGACAAAAAUUGGGAUCAACUUGAUUGAGGGGAUUUCAACAGUAAUAGGUUAUAGGUUAAUAUUGAGGGUAAAUCAAUGGAUAGUUUGUUAGGCUCAAAGGGGUUCACUAAGGACAAAUUAUGAAGGUAGGCUUUUGUGGAGUGAGUGGGUUAAACCUAAGUGCCUUUAUCAUCUCGACAUAUUAAAUCAAAUGGUGUGGUCUUGACAUGCAUAAUCAAGCAAGUUCUAGAAUAACAAAUCAAUACUGACGCACUCAUAAUAAAAGUGAGCAUGAAAGAAAUAAAAUAUGAUCUAAAAGCUUAAAAUCUCACAAAAAAUUAUGGCUUUUUGAUGUUGAACCUGUGAAUUUCAACUCAAGAUAAUACCUAAACUUGGGGAAACAACCUAAAAAUUUUAAAUACUCAAAAAUCAACUUAUCAUGUCUGAUUUUCUAAUUCCUUCAAAGUUUAAACGGUCAAUGCAUAAAUACCUAUGUUUUAAUUCAAGACAUAUCAAUAAAAAUCAUAAAUUAAUCAAAAUUCAUUCUAAUAAUGAUAUGAGAAGAUUAUUUGAGAACAAGACAAAAUUUAAGGAUUUUUUUGAUAAUGAUAUAAAGGCCCCCCACACUUAAGAUGUACAUUGCCCUCAAUGUACAAAGUUAGAUUUACAACGAUAUAGAUAUAAGAUCAUAAGAUAGGGAGAGAAGUGAAACUUCCUGAAUAAUGAAUGAACUCCUUGAAUUGGAGUUAUGGAGAAUAAUCGGCAAAGGCAAUGAUAAGAUUGGAGGAGGAUACUUCGGUGGUGGUAGAGGUUGGGUUCCACAACCUCAGUGUCCAGCGAAGAAGUUAUCGUGGUGGUCGAGCAAGACAUUACAGUUAUGGAGAACCUUUUCCAGUGGAGUUUCAAGUUUCUAAGUGAUGGUGAGCUUUGGGGCUCUUAGUAACUGUGAUAAAAUCAAGAACUCUUUAAGAAAUGUAAGGAAGCAUAAUUACACGUAAUGAAAUAGCUGAAACUAUAAAUUAUUCAAUAAAAAUUAUAAAACCUAAAAAUGAAAUAAUAUUAAAGGAAAAUAAAAUAAAAAGUACUUAAAAAUGUAAAUAAAAAUAAAAUAUAAAAAGUUUUUAAACAUCGUCAUCGCUGGAUGGUUCGCAAGGUGGUGGUGGUGAUGAGAUGUGAAGGUGCUGACAAAUCUGAUGUAGAGUAGCAUCAAUGUUAUCAAAGCGCUGAAAACACUAUUGCUCAAAUCAAUAAGGCACUCAGAGAUGUCAGAGUAUGAAAUCGCCGCAUGAACUGGACGAUAGAUGGGUUGUGGCUGAAAUGGUGGGUCCUCAUGACGUGGAGGGACAUCAUUAGUAAUUCCUCCGGGUCCUCCUCCUCGGCUGACUGGAUGAGGCGGUACUGAGCAGAAUCGAUUCCAUGUCAUUUCUCGAUCAUCCUCAUAUGUAGCAUGCUUGAAAUACCCUGUGGGGACAUCUGGCCGAUGAGAGUGAGCGAGAAUGAUUGUGCCACUGUGUUAAAGAGUCCAAAGUGCCGAAUCAAUCGAGUCACAUAGGGGCCAAUAGAGAUGACUCCCUUCCUAUGCCGUUCCGUCUGAUGGCGAAUGGCGAAGGCAAUGAAAUAGGCGAGGUCGAAGAUGUGCCCAUUCGCCAUGCUCCAUAAAAAGUAGGCAUCGUGAGUGUUGACAAUGCCGGUGCUCUCUUGUCUUCCUGUCAGAGUGUGGGCCAAGAGGGCGUGUAGGUACCUCAAGGAUGGAGGGAGAGUUGAUGUUUUGGAACGGUUAGGGUCGUAGGUGGCCGAGGGAGGGACGAGGGCCUCCAGCACUUCGAGUGAGAGUAAUGGAUGUGGCGAUGAAGGAUGUCGAGUUCGUUGUAGUCCAUGAACUCCUCCGUAUACAGCCCUAGUACAAUUUUGAACUCCGGUACGCUCAAUUGGCACACUAAACCACCAAGACGAAACUGGACCGUUGUAGGAUCGUCGAACUCUGUCAUAACGGUUUGGAAGUGAAAGGUCGAAUAGAGUUCCAGUGUGAGCUUAAGGUAUAUCGGCUUGAUGAUCCCAAAGAAGAGCUCCCAUGGAUCAGUCGACAGAAGGGCUCUGACCGCGUCAACCAGUUGGACUUGUUCAAGUGCGGCCCAUUCAAUGCAGCGGCCCACACCUAAGGGUCAGGCCCGAAGUAUCUAAAAGAGUUCUUCCUAAGGUCCUAAGGGAAACUAAAUAAAGGGGUGCCUGAUCUCCACGGUAGGACCCAAGGAUGACACUGCUCAUUUCCUUUUCUUUGAAGCGGGGACAGCGAUUUUCUUACCAUGGUUUGACAUGAUAUCUGCAAUGGCAAGACGAAAAAAAUAAUAAAUAAAAAAGUAAACUUACUCUCCAACAAUAACAUGAAAAAACAUAUGCAAUGCAUGUUAAAACUAAUAGAGAUACUUUAUAGGAGUCAUGUACUAAAGAACAACUACGCUGAAAAAUAACCCAAUCAGAUAUAUUAAGUCAUUACUACGAAUAGGAAUAUGAUAAUAAUGCCUAGUGAAUGAAUGCAUAUGGAAAUGAUGAUAUGGAAAAUAGAAUGAAGUCCAUGGCAACACAAGAAUGGUGGUAUCAUAAUGCAUCAACUAAGAUAGCAAGAAACAAAGAGCAUAAGCAAGGCUAUUAUUAGAACUAUGAAGAUUAACAGUCAAAAUAAAACAAGAAAAAUCGAAUUCAUAAACGAAAUGAAGAGAAAAGAAUGGACAAACGCAAAAGCUUGGUAGAGGGAGGAGCUUGGGCCGUCGUUAGUGGUGUUGUGGUUGGCGCACGGGCGUGGCAGGAAGGCGUGGGCAAGAGUUACGGCGGCUACAGUUAGGGAUUUUGGGGAAGGGGAUGAUGAAUAUAAGGGGUUUAUUCAACUCGUGUUUAUCGCGAUUUUUAAAUUUGGGCACGUCUGAAAUUCGUCCCACGCCGAUGUCCUUUGGGCGUGUUGGUGCACAUGGCCGUGUCGUACGGUCGUGUCCUACUUCGUUCACUUCUCCCACGCUCGUGUGUAUAAGCACACGCCCGUGUUGUUUGAUCAGUCUUGAGCACGGUUGGUGGGCACGGGCGUGUCGCACACUUGUGCUAAAUUCUCAGUUUCAACCACGAUUUCAAGACACGGGCGUGUCACACGCCCGUGUUGAUUUGAAAGACUCACCCACGGCCACGUUACACAGCCGUGGCAACUUAUCACAUCUCGUGUUAAGCAAAAAUUUUUCCCUGUUUCCACACGGUCGUGUCGCAAGGCCGUGUCUCCUCCCGUAGUGUGAGCACGGCCUAAGGCACACCUGUGUGCCUCACCGUGUGAAUUAGAAAACCAGUAUUUCAAUGACUCAGUUAGUGAUUAGAUGUUAAAAACUAAAAUUUUAAAGAAGGUAACACUAUUAGUGCUCGGGUUACCUCGCGAAAAGCAUUUAUUUAUAGUCUAAGCUCGACUUACCUCUCUGUUGCAUAGUCAUGGUAGUGCAAGGAGUUUACACUCCUCAUCCCUGCUAUCAAUUUUAUCAAAAUAAGGUUUUAGACAAGUACUAUUUACCUUAAACGUACCGAAUUUGGGAUGAAUUACCUCGACUGUGCCGUAUGGGAAAAUACUAAGUACCGUAAGAGGGAUUUCUCCAUUAGGUUCAAAGGUGGCAAUCCGAAGGUCUGCUGCAUCUAAUAGUACUUUGUUUCCAACCUUAAGUUGAGUUGGAGAAAUAUUGAGCUCGUCAUGGCAUGGUUUUUUUUAUCGUGUGAUUUCGAUUUCUGUGUCUGCCAUUCAUCUAGUUCCUCAACCUGUAGCCUUGUUCUUCAUAGAUGGGUUCUUUGUCGUUAUUUGAAUGUGGCUCAAGUGUGUUUCUCGAAUGUGUUUCCUGCACAGAGGGUUUCACCACAUGAUCAGUACUGAUAGAAUUUCGAGCUUGAGGAGUAAUUGAUUCAUCACCCAUACGAAGUGUGAGUUUACUUGUGCCAACAUCAAUUAUAGUUUUAGCAGUUGCUAGAAAGGACCGUCUUAAAAUUAAAGGUGCGUCGCUAUCCUCUUCUAUGUCUAGAACAACAAAAUCAAUUGGGAAAAUAAAUUUAUCGAUUUUUACCAAUACAUCUUCAAUGAUACCCCUGGGAAAUCUAAUAGUUUUAUCAGCUAACUGAAUACUCAUCCUAGUUUGUUUAGGUUUCCCAAUACCUAGUUGUUUAAACAUUUUAUAAGGCAUGAAAUUGAUACUAGCCCCUAAAUCAGCCAAAGCGUUAUUAACAUCUAAGCUACCAAUUAAAUAAGGAAUCGUAAAACUCCUUGGAUCUUUCAAUUUGUUGGCCAUGAUGUCUCGUUGAGAGCACCAAAAAUAUCCUAUUCUCUGUAAAAUAGUAAAAAUAACAGUAAAAGGGAAGUAGGGUCGAAUCCUCAGGGACCGGAUUGUACAAAUGCUCGUUUCUUGAAAUCCUGGACAAUUUCUUGGCCAAGAAAACCUGCGUUCCUGAAAAAUAAAAAAAAUAAAAUUAAGAAUCUGGAAAAAAAAAUAGAAUUUAAAGGGAAUUGAAAUUGCGAAAUUAAAUAAAUUGUCGAAAUUAAAAUGAGGAAAAAUAAAUAGAGUUGGGAAAAGAGAAAGUUUCUUAUGUGGCGAGAUUCCAGGCUCCGGUUGUCUCGUUCCGCCUUGGGUUCAAUCCUUGGCCUUUAAGUAACCCUUCCCAACUCAAGUAAGCCAGUUAUAGUGGAAGAGGAUGCCUACGACCACCAGCUCCAAAGAUUAGACUUACGAUUUUUAGGGAACCUGACUCUAACCAGUAAUCUAUGCUAGAUCAACGCUUCUCAAUGGCGAAUCCCAAGUCAUUUUGUCUCUUUGGCUCGCCAACCUUUGACGCAGUAAAUUAACAAACCGACUGUGCAAUCCUUUCAAAACAUACAAAGCGGUCGCCUUUGCAUAUGCUGAAAAGCUUACUUCUUAAGGGCCAUGGACGGAAGCGUCAGCCCGUAGUGCGGAGAAACGAUGAAUACUUGGCGAGAAGGCUAAGUACGGGUUCUAGGCCUCAAAAACCCUUUUUUGGGGAAUAUUGACAACCUUCAGCUAGAUAGGUUUUAAUGGCUCAUGAUAAUGGUGGAAAAGGAAAUAAAUAUAAAAAUAGAAAAUAAAAUUUUAUUCAAAGAAAAUAUGAAGAAACAAAAGCCUAGACUUUUAGGGGGAGAGUGUUUAUAGAAAAAGAUGAACACCCCAAAUAGAGUCACUUCACCCCCUAUUUAUAGUGCUAGGGAGAUAAUCUAAUUUAACUUAAAUUCUAAAAAGAUAAAUACAUUUAAUUAAAGAUAAUUAAAAUAAAAUCCUAAAAUUAAAUAAUCCUAAUAAUUAUCUUAAUAAUAAUUAUUCUAAUAUAAAUAAAAUGGAGUCUUAUAAAAUAAAAUCUCUUCUUUUUGAGUUUUCAGUCCUUGUGUCAUCCAUGCUCGCACUUUUGGAACAAUCUUUUUCCUGUGUCGCAUAUCAGCCCAUUGUGUCUCCAAAUUCGCACUUUUGUCCCUUAAUUUUUCUUUUUGCCUCCAAAUCAGUCCUUUAAAGAUAAAAAGACAUAAAUAGCUAAAAUUAGUAUGAUCAAGCUCAGAAUAAAUAUAUAAUUAGCACAUAAAAACAUGACAUUCUAGAGUGUUAUCAGGCCAGCUUAUUUUGCAGAAUGGCUGAGCAAACUGCAUUCAUCUCCACAUGCGAUGCCUCAUCUAACUUCCGUUUAUUCGCUAAAAGCUCCUUUAAAAAUUUGACUGUGUUCAGCAUCUACGAAAAAGCUUCAAUAAACGGUAAGUUAAUAUGUAAUUUCUUUAAAAUUUUAAGGAAUUUACCGAAUUGUUCGUCUGAGUGGUCUUUCCUUGUCGUAUUUGGGUAUAGUACACGUGGUUUGUACUCUUUACUUACCUGUUUUUGCUCAUUAUGGUCCACCUUACCUCUACCUUUACUUACCACAAUUUCUUGCCUUAGUUCUGGUUGAGGUGCAACUAACCCUUCCUCAUCUUGAAUGGUAAUCGCAUUGAGCUAUUCCCUUGGAUUAGAUUUAGUGUUACUCAACAGGCUACCUUGUGGUCGUUCAGAUACCAAUUUAGCAAGCUGGCUUAUCUGAGUUUUGAGCCCUUGAAUCGACACUUGUUGAUUCUUAAGUGCUUUCUUGGUAUUCUAAAAACAAGUUUCUAACACUGAGAUGAAUUUUGUUAGCAUCUCCUCAAGGUUCAGCUUUUUCUCUUGUUGGUAAGGUGGUUGUUGGAAGCCUGGAGGUGGUGGGGGUCUCUGAUUUCCUUGGCCUCCCCAUGAAAAAUUUGGAUGGUUCCUCCAACCUGCAUUUUAAGUGUUACUAUAAGGAUUAUUUUAAGAUCGAGGAUUAUUACCCAUGUAAUUCAACUGCUCAUUUUCCAUACUGUGGCCAUAAGGUGGGUAUUCUGAAUUGCUUGAUCCACCUCUACUUGCUUCGCACUGCAUUACUAGGUGAACCUGUGAAUAACCAAAUAACCCGUCAAUUUUCUUAUUUAAUAGUUCUACCUGACUAGAGAGCAUCAUGACUAAAUCAACGUUAAAAACGUCAGUUGUUUUAGUCGGCUUUGUCCUCAUUACUUGCCACUGAUAAUUAUUCAGUGAGAUCUCUUCUAUAAAUUCAUAAGCAUCUUCAGAUGUCCUAUUAUUGAUAGUCCCACCAGCGGAUGCAUCGAUAAGUUGCCUUGUUGAGGGGUUUACACCGUUGUAAAACGUCUGAACUUGCUGCCAUAGAGGCAACCCAUGAUGAGGGCACCUUCUCAACAGAUCUUUGUAUCUCUCCCAUGCAUCAUAAAGCGUUUUUAGAUUCAUCUGCAUAAAAGAAGAGAUAUCACUACGUAAUUUAGUCAUUUUAGCCGACGGAAAAUAUUUUAAUAAGAAUUUUUUAUUGUCAUUUGUUCCCAAGUAGUGAUUGACACUCGUGGUAACGAGUUCAACCACUGUUUAGAUUUGUUCCUCAAUGAAAAGGGAAAUAACCGAAGACGAAUGGAAUCAUCAGAAAUGCCAUUAAUUUUAAAUGUGUCGCAAAACUCUAGAAAAUUUGCCAAGUGAUUGUUCCUCAUCCUGCAAACUAUCAAACUAAACAAAUUGUUGUAUCAUUUGAAUUGUGUUAGGUUUUAGUUCAAAAUUAUUUGCAGCAACAGCUGGCCUAACUAUACUUGACUCAGUUCCUCUUAAAGUAGGUUUAGCAUAAUCAUACAUAGUACGCGGAGUAGGAUUCUGAUUAGCAGCAAUCGCAAGAGGUAGCGGAUUUUCCUGAUUUUCAGUCAUCUCCUCAGUUGUGGUGGAAAUAUCGUCCUCUUGCUCUUUCUCUGUGUAUCUUAGGCUUUGCCUUAUUUCUCUUCGAUUUCUGUGAGCUGUGCGAUCGAUCUCACUAUCAAAAAGUAAUGGUCCUGACGGGUUUCUUCUAGUCAUGCACUAUAAAAACUUGCCAUAAGCGAAUAAACGAAAAAUAAGAAUAAGAAAAUAAAAUAAAAAUUCAAAUUGCAACAAAAGUAAAAUGGCUAAAGUAAUAAAAAUUGAGUGUUCCUAAUAUCUUCGUUCCCCGGCAACAGCGCCAAAAACUUGAUACGUGAUAUUCGCGACAGGUUUUAAAAAUUUAUAAUUAAUCAUUCUUGAAACUAACUAUUAUCACGAUGAAGCCAAAUGUACCUAUCGAACAGCAAUAUAGCUUUAGCAAGACCGGAUUGUCAAACCUAAAGGAACCAAGAGUAUUAGUAAUUGCUUUCUUUUUAUUAUCUAGCCUAAAAAUUAAGGGAUUUGUUUAUCUAACUAAUUAACUAAACUAAGGGUGCACAGAAAGAAAAUUGGGGAAAAGCUUUUGGGAAAACUCAAUUGAUUAAGACAAUACCCAAGGAAAAAUCCACCUAGACUUCACUUGUUAUUUGACUCUGAAUCAGACGAUUUAUUCAUUUGACUUGAUCCGUAGAAAUCCCUAAGUUAUAUUAUUAUCUCUCUCGAGACUGAUAACGUCUAACCCUAGGUUGAUUAAUUGAAAUCUCUUUCUAAUUAACACCCUAGUGUUGCAUUAACUCGAUCUAUGGACUCCCUUAUUAGGUUUCACCCUAAUCCGGCAAAAUCUUGUCACCCUAUCUCUAAGCGUGCAAUCAACUCCGCUUAAUUAUGAAAAAUUUACUCUUAGACAGGGACUUUUGCUCCUCUGAAUAAGGGCAUUAACUUGAAUCAAUAUCUUGGAAGAUUAAACCAAGAAUUAAGAACACAUAAUUAAGAAUAAGUCAAAUAUUUAUCAUACAAUUCAGAUAAUAAUAACAAGAUCCGUCUUAGGUUUCAUUCCCCUUAGGUAUUUAGGGGUUUUAGUUCAUAAUUAUGAAAGAAAACAUCUCAAAAGAAAAAUGAUAACAAAAUAUAAAGAAAACCCAAAACUCCUGAAGGAAAUUGAAGGAGAUCCUCAGUCUUGACGAAUAAUCCAGAUUUUGAGAUGGAUCAAUUGGCUUUGCUUGAGUAAUUCAUUGCCUCCUACUCCCUGUGUGUCUUCUAAGUGCCUCCCCAGGUGUUUAAAUAGGCUUUAGAAUGCCUAAAAGCCCUCAAGAGUGGCCUUUUUCGAAUAAUACUGAACUUGGGCUCGACAGGGACACGCUUGUGUGACACGCCCGUGUGCGAUUGCUUCAGACCAUGGUCAAGGCUGUUAAAUAGGCACGGGCGUAUGGUCUAUCUGUGUGAGGAAGUCCAGGCCUUGUUAAUUUCCCAUGUUGGUCUAUUUUCUUCGUUUUCGGCCCAUUUCUUAUGCUCACCUAAGUAUAAAACAUGAAAUUAAAGGAUUAGGAGUAUCGAAUUCACCAAAUCUAAUGAUAAUUCAUCCAAAAAUAUGCUAAGCAUGAGGUAAGAAUAUGUAUAAAUUAUGGUUUAUCAAUGGACUAUCACAGAAGGUGUCAUAGGUUUCUCCAACAUGGGCUUAUACAUAAUUUCAUGUAUUGUGAUCUGCCAUUUCAAAUUAUACAUUAUCGAAGGCUACACCAUAAGCAUAUAUACAGACAUAUCUUGCAAUGGGUCUUAGCCAUAUAGCUUACACACACAUUCAUGUAUUGUAAUCUGCCAAUCCAAUCUUCAUCUUAUUAGAGGCUACACCAUGAGUGUUUCCAAAUCAAAGUAAGAUGUCAUGGGUCUCAACCUUAUAGUUUAUUCUUGUUUUCGUAUCGUGAUCUGCCAGUCUAGUUAGCAAUAUAACUGCCCUACCAGAGGCAUCAUAGAGGAAAAUUUGCUCAGCAUUUACUUCCCUAGAUGAUCACCUUUUUACUAGCUCAUACAUCUCCUACAUCAGACCUUACCUGCAUGCUUACCAAACAUUAUUCUUUUUAAUAGAAUUUAUACAUAUCAUCGUAGCACAUCUUUCAUCUUUGCUAAACUCAUAUUUAUACUAAUUUCUGUAGACAUCAUCAUCACAUAUAUAUAUGCUUCUUGUUUGAACAGUUCAUAUCAAAAAGUCAGGAUAGAGACCCACUUAACUCUCAUCUAUUGCAGUUCAAAGUUCUGGACUCAACCACCCUUCUCAAACCAACAGUAAAAACUGCUUACAAAACAUAGAAUCACCAUUAAAACUCAUUUACAUACAAAUUACCAUCAUCUUAAUCACUUUUCCGCUGCUAAUUAAUAAAUAAAUGUUGAGUAGUAAAUAAAUAAAAAAUUAACUAAGUUUUCAAAAAAAAAAAGUCACUGUGAUGAGAAGAAUAAGUUUUCAAAAACAAAAGUCACCGUGAUGAGAAGAAUGUCAAAAUUAAUUGGUUUUUGUUAACUCAUAUGUUUUUCUAAAAAUAGGUUAAGUUUUCUUCUGAAAUAAACAAAUAUUUUGAAAUGAUUGUUUUAUAAACUCCAAUCAUAGGCCAUCUUAGUGGUCGAUGUAAUCUCCCAAAUUCGGUUCUAACAUCUAGGUUGGGUUGGAGAGGUUACAAUAUAUAUAGAAGGAUUCAUCAAUAAUGGAAACUUGAAUACAAGCAAAGAAAGAAAUCAAUCAAUGUGAAUUACUAACAAGUUCAAAAGCAUAUAUUUGGAUUAUAUUUUGUAAAGUACAAGAAUGUCAAGGAAUUAGACAUUUUGUUUUGAUAGUGAUUAUAUUUUAUAUAUAUUUACUUUUAUGCACUUUCAUAUUGAGUUGAUCAACAGUUUUGAAACUUUAUAGAAAACUUCAAGGUAUCACUUGUUGCGUAAGUGAUAUUUUACUAAGGGUGCAUAAUUGGAGGCCUCCUAGAUAUGUGAAAAUAAUGUUUAAAAAUCCAUCAAAUAGUAAAAACAUAAAUGAAAUAGCAUAUUGAUAUAUAUGGUAUCUUGAGUGUUGAAUUAAACAUUCUUUAGUAAAAGAAUGUACAUUUUGCACAUUGUGGGUGUGUUGGUUUCUUAUAUAUCAAUUAAGCACAAAUUAAAGAAAAAUAAUAUAUAUCACCAUAGUGUUGUAAUAUUUUGUAAAAUUUGUAAAAUUAUAUAAGCAAAAAAGUUUACCUAUCUCGUUAAAUAAAACUCAUUGAGUUGGUUCUUAAUAUUGAAGAAUUAGAGUGGUUGACUUCUUUAUUCAUUUUAUCCAACUACAAGUUGGAUUAAAGUUGUGGAAAUAGAAUGGUUGAAAAUUUGUGUUAAUGAGAAUUAAAGUUGUGGCCACAACUGAUGCCGACUAUUUUCUAGAAACAGGGACUGAUGUCCAAAACAUGUAGUAAAAUAAAAUUUUAGACAUGUUAGCAUAUGAAUUUAUUAUAUUAUAGAUUCAAUGUAACACCCCUAUCCUAUCUCUGUUGCUGGAUUAGGAUUUCAGACUAUUACUAAGAAAAAUAGAACAUUUAACUUUCCAACAGAAACAAUUAUACAAUUAAAUACCAACAUAUAUCAAUUAAAUCUAAUCAUGGCAAAUAUUACACUUAUAGACCUUGAAUCGAGCCUAUGGAGCCCUAGAAAAAAUUUAGGAACAAUUUGGGAUCAAAUCGAAACAAAUCAAAACAUUUUGAAAAAAAUAUAAAAAUUUGGGAAAACAGGGGUCACACGGUUGUAUGGCCAAGUCGUGUGACAAAGCCUACACCGCGUAAACAUUAGAAGUCAAAACACUCAACUGUGUCCCAGCCUGUGUGUCUACUCAUGUGUAUAAUCGAAAUAGGGUCACACAGCUGUGCUGCAGACUGUAAACCGUGUGUGUAUUCGAAGUUAGGUCACACGACCAUGUGACCGACCGUGCCACAAACUGUUUUGAGACACACGGUCGUGUCACAGACCAUGUGAAAUAUGCACCUAAAAUAAUAAAUAUACACGACCAUGUGUGGUGACUAUGUGUGGCACAUGGUCGUGUGGUAGCUUGUGUCUCAGGCUGUGUGCUCCAUUUUUAACCCCUAAAUUAAGUUAAUCAAGCAUCAUUUCUUGCACAGCAAGACAUACCAUAUCUAACUAAUUUUACAUGGUAAAAAUCACAUUCAGAUCACCAAAUACAUACCAAAAUUUCAUUCAUCCUAUGUCUAACCAAUAUACCAUCAAAAGGCAUCUCAAUCCAUACAUUCAUUCAACUCAAGAACAAAGUUACAAUAAAGGAACAAGUUUUAUCAUUAGUUAACCAUUCAUGCCUAAAACCACCAAUCUAAUUGACGAAAAUAUGGGCAUACUCAACAAGCAACCAUUUCAAAACAUCAUCACCAAAUCUUUAUAUACCAUUUAGGAUCAACUUAAUUAUAUCCAACACAAGUACACAUCCAAAACAAAGCACAUCACUAGAAAUACCAAAAUAACUUAACGAUUUACACAUCAACAAUAAGACACCACAUCCCAAAAUGAAAUACAAAAGCUACCGAGAUGGCUGGAUAGUGUGUGCUCCAAAACAAUUCGUCUAGUCAGUCCAUAAAACGCCAACUCAACCAAUAUAGAUAAACAAAAAAGAUAAGUUCUAAUUCUUGAUAUUCAAAUGCAAGAUCACACCACAUUAGUAUAUAUUUAUUUACAUCAUAAAUGAUACCUUCCAAAAGUCAUAACCAAUUCAUCAUCCAAAAUUUCUCAAUACAACCAUUAACAUUUAUAAAACAAAAACUUCAUAGAAACAUUUAUCAUUUAGUAGUAAUAUAACUAUCCAACAAAAUUGAACAAAUAAAUGAGUUUUAAGUCAUUUGAUGCAUAUCCCGCUGAACUAUAGUAACUAGACUCGGAUACUCAAUGAUGCAUAACAGAGGCACCAAAGUGCAAACAGAGGAAGGAAUAUGCAAUCAAAGGCAUUGAAGUGCAAACAAAUGCACCAAAGUGCAAACCCGUACAAGCGCACAUUAAAACCCUAUUGGCAUACUAAUCGUAUCCUAAUCAUUUACUAUGUUCAAUGGGGCAUUAAGAAUGGGGCAUUAUACUUAAAAUCGCAAUACCAAUAAAUCCAUCAUUUAGAGGCACUUCUUAUUUCCGUACACAUAAUAACAAUAAUUACCAUCAUCAAACAUUCAUUUUAUAUUUGUACUUAAUUACAAAUUUUAAUAAUAUAUAAGUAACUAAUGAAAUUUCCCAUAUAUACCAUUAACUAGAAAAAAAUAAUAUAAUCAUAAAGAGAUACACAUAUACAUAUUAUUACAUUAUGAACUUACCUGCAAUCCACUUCCAAAUAAUAUACAGGGACUACUCCGCAAUUUUUCUCUUUCCUCGAUUAUUGUCUUUUUGACUCGGUUCUUGAUCUAUAUAAUAAUUAAAUUUAAUUUAUUAAAUUUACAUAAUUUAAAAAUCAAUUCAAUGCAUGACACCCUUAUGUUUUCAUUAUUUUCACAUUUUCCUUAAACUUUUACAUUUCUCACAAUUUAGUCCCUAAACCCGAAAUUCCAAAAUUUAACAAAAUUUUACAAUUUUCCAUGCUAGCCGAACUUCUUUCUAAACUAGUACAAUCCCCAAUUAUUUACAAUUCACAAAAUUUCUAUGCAAAUUUUAAUUAUUUACACAUUGAUCAUUAAACUCAAAAUUAACACAAAUUCUUUUACAAAAAUAUCCUAAUCAACAUUCAAAUAUAUACAACUACCAUUAAAAAUCAUGAACACCAAAAUUCCAUUACUAACCAAUCCCUAAAACUUCAACAUUUUUAUAAUUUCAUCCUCAGGUUUAAUAGUUUAAGCUACAACGAGUUCAAAAAAUAUAAAAAUUAUUAAAUAUGUGAGAGAGAAACACUUACAUGCACCAAUUUGCUAACCGAAACUUUAAGCUCAAAAAAUGGAGUUUCUUUUUUUCUUUUUCUUUUUUGGUAGGAGAGAGUUGAGAAGAUGAUGAUACCAUAUUUUAUCUUUUGUUUCUUUUCUUUAAUUAAACUAAUUACCAAAUUAACCUUUUAAUCUGAACUAAAUUAUUAACAUAACAUGACCAUAAUUUUCCAUUAACUAACCAUAAGGUUUAUCUAUCAAUCAAGUCCAUUAUUUUAGUUUUUCUUUAAAAAUCAAGCACAUUUAACUAAUAAAAGCUACUUUAGCAUAUUUUACAAUUUAGUCUUUUUUACUAAAUUAACUAACUAGACAUUAAAAUUUCUUAUCCAAAUUUUAAUACGACUCAAAUAUAACUCUAUAAACAUAAAAUAAACAUAAAAUACUAACUCACUUGUUGGAAUUAUGGUCCUGAAAUAACCAUUUUCGAUACUACUGAAAAAUGGGAUAUUACAUUCAAUCUCUAAUUUAUGCUAAUGAAUGUGAGAGAAUAAUUUUCUUUGUAUAGUAAUACUACAACUAGAAUGUGUUUCGAUCCUAUUCUUAGAAACUGAUAGUAGAAACCCAACUUUUAAUUAGAAACCUCUUGUUUUAAAGUUCAAUGGGUAAAAGCAAGUUAUCGUUAUAUGUCUGUGAUACACUAGUAAAACUCAUUAUAGAAAAAAAAAGUUUAAUGGAAACUAGUGUUAUCCAUUGCGUAUAGAGGAUGAAUUUGAAUACUAUUAAUGAAGUUCAUUGUUUAUUGUUUAAAUGUCUAAAGCAAGGGAAACAUUAAAAGAACUCUACCUAUAUAAACAUAAGAAGUGAUGCCACUUCAACAAGUAAAGGUAGGGUCUCUCUUGUAAAUGUUUAUUAUGAACAAGAUAAGCACAUGAUCAUUUUAGUGCUAAAAGUGAACAACCUCUGAUAGAAAUAUAAAUGAAUAUUAUGUGUAGUGUAUUUCAACUUCUAAUACUAGGAGUUGUGGUUCAAUCUUCGGACACCAACGACUUAUUAGAACUUUGAAAAGCAUCCGCUAAUUGAUGGUUCAUAUUGAGAGAUAUCAUCUUAUAUGCAUAAUAUUUGUUGGAGUGAAUGGCUAUAAAGUAUGGUACCAACAUUUAAACUAAGGGUGAUUGUUAGUAGUUUAUAAUGUUGGCAGUAAAAAUAUUUUAUUAUGUAGAAAAGUCUAAUAACUUAUAAUUAUUGGCCAAAUAAUUGUGUUGUAAAGAGAAUUUUUGUAUGUAAAGUUGUCUUAUAAACUUUAUGUAAAGUUGUGUUGUAAAACAACACAAUUAUAUGAAAAGGUAUCUUAUUAAAAGAUAUAUUCAUAUUAAAGGGUAUCUCAUAAAAGAUACAUCUAUUGGAUGUCUAUAUAAAAGACUUUUCUAUUAGUCAUUUAAAUUGUUUUACUUGGAGUGUUGAGGCCUUUAUUGUAUCUUGAAGGUAUUUUAAAAUCUUAAAGAAAGUGCUCUACAUGCCUCAAAGUCGUUAUAUUUUAUAACAUUAUUUUAUUUUUCUAACUUCUAUUUUCCUAUUAUUUAUUUUUCUAACAGCCAGAAUAUAGAAAAAUUAUUAUGUUUCUAACUAUAUAUUAAAUACGAGUACUACUUGGAAGCCAGCACCCACAAACAUGAUAAAAGUUAAUUUUGAUGAGAGUUUUGACGUGGAAGCAAGAAAUGAGGAAGAGGGUAGUUAUGCAGCAUUGUGAUGGUUUUUUAGUCCGACUACGCAACCAUCCAAUUUAGGGUGCGUUCUACAUUAAGGUGAAAAAGCACUUAAAAAGAACAUUUGGUUUUUACACUUAAAAGUGUGAUGGAAAAAUACUUUUUCAUUCAAAUACAAAAAUUAAGAUAUAAAUGCUUUUGACUUUUAGCUUUUACAUUAGAAUGUGAAAAUUAUCAAAUACUAUUAUUUAUAUUAACUAUUUAAAGUGUAUAUAAAAAUUAGAUUAAUUUAUAUUUUAUAUAUCAUUAUAUUAAAUUAUUUAAAUAUUAUUUAUUAUUAUAUCUUUUAAUAAUUUAUAUAUCAUCUAUUUUACAAAUAAUUUAUAUUAAUUACUUCAAAAAUAUUUGGAACUUAUAUUUCAUGUACCAUUAUAUUAAAUUAUUUAAAUAUUACAUAACUUAAAAUGUCCUUUUCUUUAGACAUGAUAGACUUUUAACGGGAAUUUUUUGUAGUAACGGAGAACACCAAAAACUAAUGAGUACAUUUUUUCAUAGCACUUUUCUACCACUUUUCAACUACAACGGUAAUGGAGAACUAAUCCUUACUAAAGUUACCGAAGCACUAGCUUCCACUGUAGCCAUUGAAAUGGGGCUCCAAUUGGGAUUGCAACACAUUAUUAUUAAAAGAGAUGCUCUCUAAGUGGUUUCGAAGUUGAAGGAAGACAAAGAAGACCUACCAACAAUCGGACCUUGAUAGCAAAGAGUUGAAUACUUGCUAAACAGGUUCAGCAAUGUAGGUUUCAACAAAGAAAGAGGCAUGCUAAUGAGGUGGCACAUCAUCUGGCCAAACAGGGUGCAAUGCCCAAUUUCUGCCCGGGCCUAAUCAAAACAGCCCAAAGCAGAAAGCCCAAUUUUUCUAGACCUAGCCCACAACUAUUUUCAGCACCACCAUGCACCCAUUUUCUCCACCACUCUUCCACUCCAGAACACCCACGAACGGUUUCCCUCCAUGCCAUACAUACCUGCAAAAUAGAUUAAUGACUCAUAGCAGUUGACAGUAGAAAGAAAUAACAACAGGAAACGGUUUUGUACUUGGCUAUAAAGCCUUUGAAUUUUUCAUUGUUUGGUUUUUUUUUCUUUCUUUUUUUUUUCAGAGAGAUUGUACACGAAAUACAUACAAAAAUCAAUAGAAAGCAAUUCAAAGGUGAUUUAUCGCUAUUUAUUGUGUUUUUUUUUUCAAUUGGGUUUACAUACAAGUAUAAAAUAUAAGAGAGAACGAGAGGCUUACCGGAGUUAUAUCGCAUUCACGCCGUCGGUAGGACUAGCUCCGUUGGUCACGAACAGAUUUUGGGAGUGGUUGGGGGCUUGAAAGGAGCCUUUCGGCUGGAGAAUAAAGGGAGAGUGAGGGAGAUGAUAUAAUAUCCAAGGCAUUUAGGGUUUUUUUUUUUAAAUAAAAGUUAAAAAGUUUUCUUUUAAGCACAAUUUUUAAAGCGGGUUUUAGGUGAUAAGAAUGAAACAGCAUGGGGAAGGGAAAGGAAUAGCGUGUUUAACUUGGUCCACGUGCAUUUACCCCUUAAAUGGGUAAUUUUCGUUAUCAGUCCUCCUUACUUGCGUCACCCUUUAUUUGAUCCUAUUCUGUUUCUUUUAUUUUUGCCUUGAAUUUUGCGCACCGUUCCAAUUUAGUCCGAGCAUGAGUGUUGCUUUUUUGGGGUUGGGAACAUUUUCAAUUUUAGCCCUUAUACAUUCACGCGCAUUGCGCUUUGGUCCCUAUUUCAAUUUCAAUGGUUUUUUUAUUUGUUAAUUGUCCCUUUAAUUUUGCUUUUCUUCCAAUUAAGUUUUUAUUUAUUUUUUCCAUAAAAUAAGAAUAUAUUAUUUUAACAUAUAGUUUUGUUCAACAAAAUUCAUAUAUAUUUUUGUAUAUAUUAUUUUAACAAAAUAAGAAUAUAUUGUUUUCUUCAUAUGCAUAUUUAUUUGUUUUUUCUUCCAAAAUAAUUUCAUAUAUCAUUUUGUAUUUAUAUACUUUACUUAUAUUAAGUUUGCUUUAUAUCAUGUAUAUACGUAACUUAUACUAAGUUAUCUUUACUCUAAGUGUACAUUAUUGACUUCCUUUUAUUUUAUGUAAAUAUUUCCUUUUAUUUUAUUUUUUUAUGUAUAUUAUUGAUUUUAUGUUAUUUUAUGCUUGUUUAUUUUCUUCUAAGGACCCUAUUUUAAAUGGUAUAUUUUAUUUAUUUUCGUAUGCUAGUACCUUUGUUUUUUUUAUGUAUAAAUUUUCAUUUCAAGUAUUAUUUAUUUAGAUUGACAAAUACUAUGCUAUGUAUUACUUUUUUUAUAUAUAUACAUUAUGUGUCUUGAAAUAUCGUUUAUAUAUUAUUAUGUCGUACAUUAUUUUUAUUUUUAUUAUUUUUUGACCUAUUCCAGACUGUCAUAUAUGUUACCUUAAGAUUUUUAUACAUUUGUUUGAUUGCAUACUAACGAUUCCAAAUUGCAUUUCUUCUAUAUUAUCUAUAUUAUUUGUUAAAACUUGCCACAUACUUUUAUCUCAUGUACAAAACUAAGCUUGUACACAUGUUAUUGCAUCAUGAUCUUUAAAUUCCAACUCUUUGCCCAACAUCAAUCGUUUUUUAUCCCCAAGCAAACCAAACAAGUAUUUUUAAUUCGGUUUUUAUAACUGUUAAUUUAAAAAUUUCCCAAAACAAAGGCAAUGUUUGAUGUUUGAAAUUUUGGAAAUCGUGCCCUAACGUACUGGGUUUCGAUUUUUCGUUUAUCCAAAAUAAUCAAGUAUCCCCUUUAAAGUUUCGUAUGUGUUUUCUAAACUUCAAAACAAGGCAAUGUUCUAUGUUUUGGAAAUCCGAGAAAUCGUGCCCUAACGUGUUGGAUUUCAAUUUUUCGUUGGACCAAAUGAUCGAGUAUCCUUUUGAAAUUUCAAAUAUAUGAGCUUUUGGAAAUUAAGACUCGGUUGUGGUUUCGAGGGUUUAGAAAGUUAUGUCUUAACGUGCUGGAUGUGAUAUUUUAUUCCUUCAUAACAAAAGAAUUCUUAAUGACCAAUUUGAGUUAUUCAAAUAUUUUAAAAGAAAUAGUAUUUCAAAAUAUCUUUUAAAUUUUAGACAUAAGGACAUUGAUUAAUCAAUUAGGUACCAAUUUUGGGCGUCACGAGGGUGCUAGCCCUUCCUCGUGCGUAACCGACUCCCGAACCCUUUUUUCUCGACUUACGUAGACCUGAAAUUAUUGUUUUAAUAAAUCAAAAUGUUUUAUUAAAAUGAUCAAUUUCAAGGUGAUCCGAUCCCACCUCAGAAGGGAUCGGUGGCGACUCCAAACUUUGAUUUUUCAAAGUCGAUCCCCGUUUUUUUCAAACUUUUAGAAAAUGGUUUCGACACAAGGCCUUAAUUGUUUUCCAUCUUUUGUUCAUAUGUUUGUUUUGAAAAGGUAAAACAAAUCCUCACCUAUUGAUGUUAGAACGGUUGAAUUGCUAAAAGCAUGCUGCGUGCAUAACCAUGCUUUAGGUUAGGCUUCAAAUCAAAUAAAUUUUAAAUUAUUUUUAUUUGAAUUUAAUUAUAAAAAUAUAUUAAUAUCAAUAUAAAAUUAUAUACAAUUUUAAGAUAUUUUAUUUUUCAAUAAUAAAACGAAUCAUCUACCAACCCUAAUUCUUCAGUUUUCUUUUUAAUUAGAUGAUAACUCAAGCCAAGCUAACCAAUAAACACCCAAAAUCUACCAUCAUUUUCAUUUUUUUUUCUUUUGUCACAAAGUAGACAGAAGAUUCGGUUUGGAUAAGCUCUACGUUAUUAAGUCAAAAGCUGAAGUAAUUUUAAUCAUAAAUUGUUUUAUUUGUUUAUAAUGCAAAACAAUGACCCAAUUAAUACAAUAAAGCUUUAACUUUGUGGGAAUUUUCAGUCCAAAAAAAAAAAAACAAUUUGUGGAAAUUUUAGAGCAGUUGACCAUUUCUUCCGAAUUAGUUUUCUCACUUCUUGUCCAUAUUCCAUGUAUAUUAUUUCAAGAAAUUAGGUUUAGAAAAUUGCAUAAUUCAACCAUUGAACUAAUAAAUAUUAAAGAAAAAUUGGGUGGCAAAAAUAUCUUAUUAAAAGCGAAUCAUAUACUAUUAAUAGAUUUUAUGAUUAAAUUAGUUUCACGUGUUAACGGGAUAUUAACUUGAUUUAGUAAAUUAUAAAAAUGUCUUUUAAUGUUUAAAAUAAAUUAUAUUAUUUGAAGAUAUUUUAAUUUUUUUAUUAAAAAAGGAUGAUGUCUCAAAUUAACUCACAAUCUAAUUUAAUUUUUUAUUUUAAUAUCGUAAAUGUUUCAUGUUUUAUUAUUAAUUUGUUUCAAAUUAUACAUUUCAUUAUUUAUUUUAUGUUAUUUUUAAACAUAUUUGUGUUCUAAAUACCAAAUUUUCACUUAAGGGUAUCAGAGACGAAUCUAGAGAGGCUAGUAGGGGCCCCGGUCUCCUUAAAAUGAAAAUUAUUAUUUAAGCCCUUUAGAAAAUUUUAAAAUUUUAAAUUAGUAAAUGUAAAAUUGCACUUUGACCCCCUAAAAUUAUAAAAAUUUAAUUUAAUCUUUUAAAAAUUAUAAAGAUAUAAACUAGUAAAAAUUAAAAUUUCAUUUCGAUCCUCCCUAAAACAUAUUUUUGGCUUCACCUAAAGGGUAUGACUAGUAUGAAUAAUUUUCUUUGGAAGUCUUAAACAAACAGGAGUUAAGUAAAAAGGAGUUUUCAUACAUACAUAUUCGGCGUUGAUGUUUCCCUUUCGAAAAUUUAAAUUAAGACAUAGGAAAAGAAACUAAAAUUGAGCUUAAUUUAUGCAGUUGGGUUCAAAAUUUAAUAUUUAAAUAUAAAAAUUCUAAUAAUUCGAUCUGGUCCGUUUCAUCUAGCAGACUAAUAAUAAAUCUUAAAACAUAUUAUAUUUUAAUUUUAAUAAAACCAAAACUGAUACAUUUGACCUACAUCUACAUGUGAUCUAUGCUUAAUUAAAUUAGUCUAAAUUAGACGAGAUCUUGAUUAGGAGUCAUUUAUUUAUAUUAUAAGUCCCUGAAACAUGCAAAACUUACAUUUAAAAAUUAAUAUUUUUACGUUGUUGUUAGAAUAUAGGGUUUGUUAAUGUUUUCGUGUGAAGUCAGCUGUUGACAUUACCAACCAGAUAAUGAAAAGGGAACAUGGCAAUUAUUCCAUCCUAAUUGUCACACACACACACACACCUAAUUAAGUUAAUCCAAAAAUUACCUAACGUUUAGCAUUUCAAUGGUAGAGUCAGCUCUUUCUUCUAGUCUAUCAAAAAAAAAAAAUCAAUUUAACCCCUAACUCUUGGAUGGAAAAGUUUUUGCUAUGAACUUGUUGAAGUGAAUCUAAUGUGAUAUAAACACAUCACAAUCCAUGUGUGUAAUUAAAAAUAAUAGAGAGAGAUUGAAUAAUUUAAAGGGAAAAAAAAAGAAUUUACUCCCUCCACUAACAGGUAACUCUUGCAGCUUGAAUCUACAACGUAUGUAUGAAAGUGAACACCUUUAAUUAAUGAAUAAAUACUAAAGUUCUAGGUUUAGAAUUAAUUAAAUAUCAAUACAAAAAGUUAAUUACUUUUUGAAAUAAGGAUAAAUCGGUUUUUGAGGUUUGAUAAUUUUUCACAUAUCGAGGUUUGAAUUUUUUUAUCUUAAGUUCUAAACUUGACAAUAGUUCUCAAGAUGUGAAGGUUUUUUUUUUAUCCAAAUUAGGCUAUGAACUUAGAUAGAAAUCUUAAAAUUCAACCCUAAUGUAGGUAUAAUUGUCAAGUUAAAAAAAAUUCAAAUCUUAAUAGAAGAAUAAUCUACUAAUUGGUAACCCUAAUAUAAAAACAAUUGUUAAGUUGAAAACUUAAUUUUUUUUAAAAAUUCAAACCCUUAUUAACUUUAGGAUUUAACCCUUUGAAAUAUUGCGUUAAUUAAUAAGUGUAAGAAUUAUUUUGUGUUAAUGAUUAAAUAAAUAUUUAAGUGGAGAUCAAGUUUUACCUCAUUUGUCAAUUGUCAGGUGAAGAAUAUAUACCCUAAAGGCCUAUCAAAAACGGACCUAUCUCUAUAUAUCUUUACUAAUUUACUAUUCAUUUUUAAUGAAAAGCAAUAAAUUAAUGAAAACGCUAUAAAACGAAAACUACAUGAAUAAAUUAUAUGUGUAAAAUUGAAAUAUUUCGUGACGACAUUAUUGAAAAAAAUAAUCAUUAACCUUAAAUAUAAACAAUUAUGACAUUUCUAUAAAAUAUCAUUUAAUAUAUUGCAUCAAAGUUUUAAAAAAUGUUAUGUGUAUACUUUUACCUCGUAUAAAAAAGUCUUUCAUUUCUCAAUUCUUAUGGCAUAGUAAAUUUAUUAUUAAUUUUUAAAAAAAAUGGUUAUUAUUUGUGUAUUAAAUAAUUAUUGGGAUAAAUUUUAAAGUUGUACAUGGAUUUUGGUUACAUGUUAAUUAUAAACAUUAACUUUGAUUUUAUAUAAUUUUAUAUAUGAAAUUUUAAUUUGAUCCAAUUCUCAUAAAUUAUUAACAUAAUUAUUGAUAUAAUAUCAUUUUAUGUUUAUAUGCUAUAUACAGAAAUAAUUAUAUUUAUUCAAUAUAAAAAUUAAUUGAUGUAUUUAUUUCUUUAAACGUAUAUGAUUGAAUCAAAAUUAAAACAUCAUGUAUACAUUUGAACCAUAACUAAAAUUUUACAUAUAUAAUUAUACAAAAUUACAAUUCAUAUACGUAAUAAACUAAAAUUCAAUUUUUUUAUAAAAUUAACCUAAAAAAUUUAAUUAAUUACAUAAAUGACCCUUUUUUUUAUUAAACACGUAAAUGACCUAAAAUCUACCGUGAAAAUUGGUGGAAGCAAAGAGUUUGGCACCACCAACAUGCCACGUCAGCAACCAAGAUAAAAAAAAUCAACUUUUUGGUAGAGCCAUGCAUAAUAGUGCUACUUGUAUAAAUAUCAGGAAAAUACUAUAAUUUCUAAAAAAUAAGGGACUUUAAUAAAAAAAAAUUCUAUUUUCUGGUGGAGCCAAAUAAAUUGGCGCCACCAGUUUCCAAUGUGAUUUUUUUUAAAGUUUUCUAAAAUUUUAAAUAUAUUAAAAAAUGUUAAGUAUAAUUAAUUUUAAAAGUUUAAUAUAUUUAAAAAUUUAAUAUACUUAAUAUAUAUUUUUAAUAGGUAAAGAAAAAAAUGAUUUUUUAAUAUAUUUAAAAUUUUAAAAAACUUAAAAAAUUUAAAUACUUUAAAAAAUAUUAAGUAUAACUAAUUUUAAAAUUUUAAUAUAUUUAAUAUAUUUUUAAAAUAUUUUUAAAAUUUUUAAUAUAUUUAAAUUUUUUAAAGUUUUUUAAAAUUUUAAAUAUAUUAAAAAAAAUUUCCUCAUUACCUAUUAAAAAUAUAUUAAAUAUAUUAAAAUUUUAACAUAUAUUUUUAAAAUAUAUAUUAAAUAUAUUAAAAUUUUAAAAUUAGUUAUACUUAACAUUUUUUUAAUAUAUUUAAUUUUUUACUAUUUUUUAAAAAUUUUAAAUAUAUUAAGAAAAUAUUUUUUAUAUUUACCUAUUAAAAAUAUAUUUUAAGUAUAUUAAAUUUUUAAAUAUAUUAAACUUUUAAAAAUAAUUAUACUUAACAUUUUUUAAUAUAUUUAAAAUUUUAGAAAACUUUAAAAAAAAUUACAUUUGAAACUGAUUGGCUCCACCAGAAAAUAGAAAAUUUUUAUUAAAGUCCCCCCAUUUUUUAGAAAUUAUAAUAUUUUUUUGAUAUUUAUACAAGUGGCGCCAUUCUACAUGGCUCUAUCAAAAAGUUGAUUUUUUUUAUCCUGGUUGCUGACGUGGCAUAUUGGUGGAGCUAAACUCUUUACCUCCACCAAUUUUCACAGAAAAUUUUAAGUUAUUUAUGUGUUUAAUCAAAAAAAUAGAUCAUUUAUAUAAUUAAUUAAAUUUUUUAAAUUAAUUUUAUAAAAAAAACCCUAAAAUUCAUAUAUAUAACUGUAAGAUUUAUGUCCACAAUUAUCUAAAGCUAAUCGGUGAUAAUUACUAUGGAAAUUCAAUGUACUUAACUAAUUGAUUGAUAGGAACAAGCAUGAUGAAAUCCAUGAUUGGGAAGAGAGAGAAUUCAAAAACUGAACGCCCCAUUAAUCCAUGCGAAUAAACUUUUUCGGUAUACAUCAUAAUUCAUUUAAUUUUAUCAUUAUCUCUAUGCUAUAAUUAUGUUUAAACUAAAAUACUUGAGACAUUAAUAGUUUGUGUUAUAUAAAUUAUGAUAUCCAUAUAUCCAUAUUAUAUAUAUAUUUUUAUAUUAUGAAUGCAUUUAAAAAAAAAUUAUGAAAAAUGUAGAGUCCGCAAAUAAAAAAUGGCUUACAAAUUAACAGAAAACCAAUUUUAUUUCUUGUAAAUUGAUUUACCAUAUUAAAAAGUGUAAAUCUUUUUUUAAAUUUAUUUACGAGUAAUUUUAUUUUUAUAAAAAUUAAUUUUAGCCAAGCCUAAUAUUAUUUUAUUAAUAAUAUUAUUUUUAUUUUUAUUUUUAAACAAUUUAAAAUUAUUAAUAUCAAAUAUUAUAAUGUUGAAUCCUAGUAACAUACAUAUUAAAUUAUUUAUAUUAUGUUAUAUUACAAUUUUAUUUUAAUAAUAAAUUUUAACAACAAUAAUUUUAAAUUUUAAAUCGUAUUUUUAAUAUAUUAUUGAAAAAUAUUUAUAUUAAUAUUUUAAUAAUAAAUAUAUAUUAAAAUUUAUAAAUAUUUAAUAAUAAAUUUUUUAUAGUAUAAAAUAUGAAUAUUUUAAUUAUAUAGAUAUGAGUAUUUGUUUAAAUCAUGCUUAAGUUCAUUUAUCUCCCAACUCUAAUGUGUCAUUAUACACUGUCAUAUAUAUAAUAUAUGUAAUUUAAGCAUUAUUUAUUAUUAAAUUUAUAUAUGAUAUUAAUUAUAAUAAAAUAUUAUCUUAUUAUAAAAGAAAUUCCAAUUGUCAAAAAGAAAUGUUACUCUAAUAUUUUGUAAUAAGUAUAUUUAUAUUGUAUUUGUUUCACUAAUAACAAAUUUAAAAUGAUUUUAGAAAAAAAUAUCAAAAAAUAAAAAAUAUUUUAAUCAAAAUAAUUCAAAUAAAAAAAACUAAACUUUUCCAUGAAAUCAAUCCAAUUUUAAGAAAACAUUAAAAUUGUUUUAGGUGAAACAAAAGGAACCUAUAUUUUAUAUAGUAUUUGAAAAGUUGUUGUAUCUAGAAUUAUUAUCUUUAAUUUUUUUUAGGUCUAUUUCUAAUUUUCAAAAAUUGAGAAGUUAAUUUCUCUAUUUUACUUUAUCAGUCCGUGCUUAUUUUUUAUUAAUUUGUUGUGUAUAAAUGGUUAAACUAUUGAUUUUUGUUAAUUACUAGCAUGUAAAUUGUUAAACUACUUGUUCCCAAGUCAACAGUAAAGCUUAAUAGUAUUAUCAAUUUGGAAUAAUUUCUGAGAUUUUUCUUUUAUUUUGCGUGAUUAAGAUAUUUUUCAUGUACGGUUUAAGGUUUAUGAAGACUAAUCCUUUCGAGUUUAUAACUACCCUUUUUAAUAAUGUCGUCUUUAAAAUUCGAGUUCUCUUUCUUGUAAGUACAAUAUGCCUUACAUUUAUAACUAAUACUUCUUAUUUUUGUAAAAUAUAAGAAUCAAAUUAUGUAGUAAGAUUAAUUUCUAGAUUUUUUAAAUUUAAAAUUUAACAUUUAAAAUAUUAUCAAUCACAUCACACACAAAACCAAAGAGCAAGAGAAUCUAAAAAACACGUGGACCAUUAAUUUAGGAAUGGACAGAAACUCAUGCAAAAUGGUUGGAAAACACGUACAGGAUUAUAUAUACUAAUCAUUUUUAUUAUUAAGCAGAAUUGGAAAUAAAUAAAUACGGGCGAAACCACUGAAUAAUACAGCAUUGAAAUGCAAUUUGUCUACAUCAUUAUUGUUCUUCACUUCAAACGCGGAGACUAGUCUAGGGUCCCAAUCUUUUGCUUUAUCUCUCUAGAUAUAUCCUUUUCAAACUAUCUUUUUGUAGCUUUAUUUGCAUCACAGCAUUAUCUUUUCCUGCAAACAACUGUUUAAAGAUUAAAACAUGCAAAACAUUCUGAAAUAAUGCACCCUGACCAGAUGACAAAAAAAAAAGAGGAUUCUAAUGUAUCUUACCUUGGAUUGGAGCACGGUCAAAGCCGUGGCUUAGUAGUGGUGAGGAGGAGGGGGUGAAGCGUAGACAUAAUGGGGUGGGGGUGGAGGAGGAGACUUGUAUUUGUAAACUGGAGGAGGAGGUGGUGGAGACUUGUACUUGUAAGGGUGCUUGGGGGGUGAUGGUGGGGGUGGUGGGGGUGACUUGUACUUGUAGGGGUGCUUGGGUGGUGACGGUGGGGGUGGGGACUUGUACUUGUAAGGGUGCUUGGGGGGUGAUGGUGGUGGUGGUGGAGGUGACUUGUACUUGUAGGGGUGCUUGGGUGGUGACGGUGGUGGUGGUGGGGGGGACUUGUACUUGUAGGGAUGCUUUGGUGGGGAUGGUGGUGGUGGUGGUGGGGACUUGUACUUGUAGGGAUGCUUAGGUGGGGAUGGUGGUGGUGGUGGAGACUUGUAUUUGUAAGGAUGCUUUGGUGGUGAUGUUGGUGGAGGUGGUGGGGACUUGUACUUGUAAGGGUGCUUGGGUGGUGAUGGAGGUGGAGGUGGUGGAGACUUAUACUUGUAAACUGGAGGUGGUGGGGGUGGAGACUUGUACUUGUAGGGGUGCUUGGGUGAUGAUGGAGGUGGAGGUGGUGGAGACUUAUACUUGUAAACUGGAGGUGGUGGGGGUGGAGACUUGUACUUGUAAGGGUGCUUGGGUGGUGAUGGUGGGGGUGGGGACUUGUACUUGUAGGGGUGUUUAGGUGGUGAUGGUGGUGGUGGUGGUGGGGACUUGUACUUGUAAGGAUGCUUGGGUGGUGAUGGUGGUGGAGGUGGAGGAGACUUGUACUUGUAAGGAUGCUUGGGUGGUGAUGGUGGUGGAGGUGGUGGAGACUUAUACUUGUAAACAGGAGUUGGUGGGGGAGGAGAUUUGUACUUGUAAGGUUUCUUGUGUGGUGGUGGUGGAGGAGAGUAGACCGGAGGAGGCGGUGGGGGAGACUUGUAAUGGUAGGGUGGUGGUGGGUAUUUCUUAGGAG
rnacentral:lncRNA from 1 species